ACACAUUAGAAACCUAAUAAAAAAACCACAUCUGACCAAAAGCACAUUAGAAACCUAAUAAAAAAACCACAUCUGACCAAAAGCGUCGUUCCCCCCUCACCCAUCUUCUUUUUCCUCACUUCUAACCUAAAAACACAAAAAAAAUCAAGACCCUCAUCUCUAUCCUGGCAACGGCACAGACCCCCCACCUCUUCUUUUCCAUUCCCUCGUUACCCUCACUCAACACUCAAUCACACACACAUACACGCCUGGACUACUGAGAGAAGAAGUUUGCACUUCAAAAUUUAAGAUCUAGAAAACUAAAAAAAAAUCGAAAAAAGGGAUUAAAAGGUUGUUUGAAUUUUGCUUCAUGGCUUUAUCGUUUCUGACUUUACAAGACUUUUUUCUAGUUAUAUGUUUGCUGGUUUGUUGCUGCUUCCGCUGGUGGAUCUCACUCUUUAUUCCAGACCUUGCUUGGUCAUUUAGUGUUAUUUUUACAGCUUCUAGGUAUGUAAAUUCUCACAUAUUCUCCUCUACUUGAGUCUAUGGUUUAAAUUUCGGAUUGCUCAUAUUGAGUUCGUGAUUGUUUACUCAGAUUUUGAUUGUGUUAAUUGCUUAUGGAUUGACUAUAUUUGAAUGUUUAGUAUACCUAUUCAAUUGUGGUAUUGUAAAAUGUCCUCUUCUGUUGCGCCAAUUGAUUGAUAUUGGCUCAUAUAAUGCUUAGGUCUAAUUUGCCGUUUAUGUAUAAUUACUGUGCGUUUUCAUUGUUAUUUUGAAUGAAGAUUGUUAUAUUCAAAAAGGUCUUCUUUGAUUUAUGAUUCAAAUAGCGCUAAGCAUAUGAGUUUCAUCGCCUCAAUUUAUUCAUCUGUUUUCUUGGAGUUAUGUACUUCUUUUAUGAAUUCCACUGAAAUCUUUUGGAUAAGUUCAUAUUAAUCGUUUGCUACUUUGGAUUAAGUGGCAUGCUUGCUUGAUACAAUUAUUAGAUUGGUGUAUUAAAUUAAUAUGGCAAUAAGUUUUGUUUAGCUAAUUGGAUUUUGUGAGUUGAUUUGUUAUAUUUGGAUUGGUUUGUGUUUGAUAAGCUUCAAGAGGAAUUGGGCAUGAACGUAAUGCUAGCCUUUUAUCCACAUUUAUUUCAUAAUUGUAAUAGUCAAAUCUUACACCUACCCACAAAUUACCUCCAUAAUUCGUGGCCUUACAAUAAUCUCAAAGUAGGAAGAACAAUCUUAUGAAUAUCGUAGUUUGCUAUAGGCGCGAUUAAUAAUGAUUUAUCGUGGCGAUGGGUACGGUUCCCGUGGCAUGGUCACGAUACAUAAUUCCAAAUUCGGGUGUGCAUUUCAUGUGACCCGACCACAACUUCGAAAAAUAAUAAAAAUGAACAUGUUGUAAAUCGCGGGUGCAUUUCAUGUGAUACGGUUUGCAAUGUGUACCAACACGAUAAGUGUACGACAAUCGUGGCUUGUUCUAGAAAUAAAUCCAUAAAUAAAUAAUAGCGGUUAAAAUGUUAAAAAUGCAUAAUAGGUUUAAAACAUGUAAUAAAUCAGAUAAUGAGGCCAAUUAUUAAUAGUUGAGCGACAGUGCUAAAACCACGAAACCCGGGAAUGCCUAACACCUUCUCCCGGGUUAACAGAAUUACUUACCCGGUCUUCAGUGUACGCGGACCAUAAAUAAGAGUCAAAUUUUCUCGAUUUGGGAUUUAAAAUAAACCGGUAACUUGGGAAACCAUAAAUUAUUCCAAGUGGUGACUCUAAAAUUAAAUAAAUAAUCCCAUUUCGAUUUAUGUCACUUUAAUUGGAAAAACUCCCUUAUACCCCUUAUUGGGUAAAAAGGAGGUGUGACAGCUCUGGCUACUCCGCUGAGGAAAUGAACCCAGAACAUCUGGUUCAAGGUUAAGAAUUCGAGCUUAGAAAUGUUAUAGUUGGCUUUUAUCUAUUAUCUGAUUUUUAUAUGUUUGAGCCUAAUGUGCUCAAUGCUACUUUUUACUGCUUUGAUAUUGUUUUAACUGUAUAUAAAACUGUCACGAAACCCUUCUUCUCUCUGAGUCUUCUAAAUCUUCUGGGAAGCGUGAGCUUCGCGUGACUUCUUUUCUGUUAGAGUCAUAUCCUAAUUUUAGAACGAGGUUCAGAUAAGUUGCAAAGCCGAUGAAGCUUCUGUAUUCCCGGUACUCUGCCCUCCCCCCUCCGGCUUGAGCUAUCAGCUCGAGUAAGCCAAGUCUAGAACAAUACACCCAGGUUUUAAACCUAGAAUGACAUAGCCUCAUGCUGGAUUCCUAGUAGGAACGCUUGUUUGCAUCACGUGCAUUUGACUUUGGAGACUCAACACAGGGGUUGGGUCCGUCUAGGACAAGUGUACCCAAAAAUUUAAAGACCAUCUUGAUGCAUCCUACGUGCUACUUGCGCAUCUAUUUGUUUCGGCUUGCAUGUUGACCGGCUUCUAGAAUAAGGAAGGAAAAUCAAAAAAAAAUAUUCAAAAAAAAAAAGAGUGAGAGGUAGGUAUUUGGAAAAUUCUGAAACUCUGCCAAAAUUUUGAAAAAAAAAAGAGAAAUAAAAUAAGCCAAAGUUAUCAAAAGUCAUGAUUCCCUGUUCCGUCAAAAUUGACCGAACUACGCGGGUCUGAUUCUCACCGGAUGUGAGAUACAUAGGCAAACCUAAUCGGUUCUGGCCCAUUUUUUUUAAAAAAAUCCAAAAUUUUUUUCUCUUAAUUCCUUCUUUAGAAGCAUUUCCUUAGAAAAUUACAAAAAAAAAAAAAAGAUUUUUAAACUAAAAAAGUAGUUUCCUUCUUUCUGAAGUCUUUCAUAUGGAAAAAAAGGAAAAGAAAAGUCAAUCAAAAAUCAAAAUCCAGAAUAUGAGUUUCCUUUAUUUUGAAGUAUUUUUCUCAAAAAUCCAAAAAAAUUAGAACCAAAAAAAAUAAUCCAAAAAAAUAUAUUCUUUUUCCUUUUUUAAAAGUCUUUCUUUCGUAAAUGUCAAAACAAAAAUUAAAAAAUUGAAGUCCAAUAAUAUUUUCAUUUAGAAGUACUUUUGUAAAUUUAAAAACAAAAAACUCAGAAAUCCAAAAUAUUUUCCUUAAAAGUCCCUCUUUCAAAAAUUAAGAGCGACAUCCAAAAUNNNNNNNNNNNNNNNNNNNNNNNNNNNNNNNNNNNNNNNNNNNNNNNNNNNNNNNNNNNNNNNNNNNNNNNNNNNNNNNNNNNNNNNNNNNNNNNNNNNNNNNNNNNNNNNNNNNNNNNNNNNNNNNNNNNNNNNNNNNNNNNNNNNNNNNNNNNNNNNNNNNNNNNNNNNNNNNNNNNNNNNNNNNNNNNNNNNNNNNNNNNNNNNNNNNNNNNNNNNNNNNNNNNNNNNNNNNNNNNNNNNNNNNNNNNNNNNNNNNNNNNNNNNNNNNNNNNNNNNNNNNNNNNNNNNNNNNNNNNNNNNNNNNNNNNNNNNNNNNNNNNNNNNNNNNNNNNNNNNNNNNNNNNNNNNNNNNNNNNGUAAAGUAAACAAAUGGAAGUUCACCCCUCGGCCACAGUAUCAACAAAUCCGCCCCUCGGGCAACAUCUCAGAACAAUACCAGCCCUUCGGGCUCAAUCUCACAUCACAAUGGGUACCCGCACUAACUGGGGUGUACAGACUCCUAGAAGGGCCCCUUAUGGCCCAAGCGCAAUAUCAAGCCACCUCGUGGCAUCAUCACUAGGCCCUCGGCCUCAUAUCAAUCAAGCCACCUCGUGGCGUACAUAUCUCACGCCCUCGGCCUCAUAAUCAGUAUCAAAUGUCUCCUCACAACAUAGGCCCUCGGCCUUACUCAAUCAAAAAUCCUCACAAGCCACUCGGGCUAUAGUAAAACAGUGUUUCUCGGCCCAAACAUCAUUUAAAAUAUCAUUUAUGUAUUAAAACUGAGUAAACAUGGCCGAAUACGAAAACAGUGGAAAAUAACAUGACUGAGUUCAAGUAUAUAGUCAAAACAGUGAGGAAAUAUCAAUAAAAAUCCCUGAAGGGUUCAAAUAGUUGGCACGAAGCCCAAAUAUGACAUUCAGCCCAAAUCAUGAUGAUAGCAAAUAGAUUUCAACCAAAUACGCGGUAAAAUAGCAUUCGGGAUGGACUAAGUGACAAUCCCCAACAGUGCACGACCCCUCUCUCGUCAUCCAGCGUGUGCCUCACCUCAAUAUAGCACUAAGAUAUGCAAAACCGGGGUUUCAACCCCUCAGAACAUCAUUUACAAUCAUUACUCAUCUCGAACUGGUAAAAUCUCUAUCUCGCGAUGCCUUUGCCCCUCGAACGAGCCUCCACUCGCGUCGAAUCUAUCGAAAAUCAGAACGAGGAUGUCAAAAUAAGCUAAGGGAACGAAGCCCAAGCGAAAACAAUCAAUAAAUGGCCCAAAUCCCGAAAUUACCAAAAUCCGACCCCCGGUCCCACAUCUCGGAAUUCAAUAAUUUUUACUUCAAUACGUUCCUUAUCUCCCCACGAGUUCAUACAUAUCAAAAGUUCUGAAAUCCGACCUCAAAUGGUCCUUCAAAUCCUCAAUUAAAGGCCUAAAUUCCCAAGCCCUAGUUUCCCCAAUUUUCACCCUUAAUUUCCAUGAUUUCUAGCCGUAAUCCAUGAAAUAAAAACAUAGUAACGAGCUUUAGGUCCAAAUUCCUUACCUCAAUGAAGUUCCCUUGAAAUCCCUCUUUCAAAUCACCCAAAAAGCUCCCAAGCUGAGAUAAAUAUGGUGAAAUAGCUCAAAAUUCGUGAACGCUACAAUUUAUACCUUCUGCCCAGUCAUUUUUGCAUCUGUGGCACAAUACCCGCUUUUGCGGUACCGCAUUUGCGGUUAUUUCUCCGCUUCUGCAGAUAUCACUUAGCUUAUGAUUUUUCCGCUUCUGCGAUCCCUCAUUCGCAUCUGCGAUAUCGCAGAUGCGGUCCAUCUCACCGCUUCUACGGUUCCUGACCGCCUCAUCAUUUUCUGUCUUCUACAGCUGCUCUUCUGCACGUCCGGUGUCGCACCUGCGGUCCCCAAUCCNNNNNNNNNNNNNNNNNNNNNNNNNNNNNNNNNNNNNNNNNNNNNNNNNNNNNNNNNNNNNNNNNNNNNNNNNNNNNNNNNNNNNNNNNNNNNNNNNNNNNNNNNNNNNNNNNNNNNNNNNNNNNNNNNNNNNNNNNNNNNNNNNNNNNNNNNNNNNNNNNNNNNNNNNNNNNNNNNNNNNNNNNNNNNNNNNNNNNNNNNNNNNNNNNNNNNNNNNNNNNNNNNNNNNNNNNNNNNNNNNNNNNNNNNNNNNNNNNNNNNNNNNNNNNNNNNNNNNNNNNNNNNNNNNNNNNNNNNNNNNNNNNNNNNNNNNNNNNNNNNNNNNNNNNNNNNNNNNNNNNNNNNNNNNNNNNNNNNNNNNNNNNNNNNNNNNNNNNNNNNNNNNNNNNNNNNNNNNNNNNNNNNNNNNNNNNNNNNNNNNNNNNNNNNNNNNNNNNNNNNNNNNNNNNNNNNNNNNNNNNNNNNNNNNNNNNNNNNNNNNNNNNNNNNNNNNNNNNNNNNNNNNNNNNNNNNNNNNNNNNNNNNNNNNNNNNNNNNNNNNNNNNNNNNNNNNNNNNNNNNNNNNNNNNNNNNNNNNNNNNNNNNNNNNNNNNNNNNNNNNNNNNNNNNNNNNNNNNNNNNNNNNNNNNNNNNNNNNNNNNNNNNNNNNNNNNNNNNNNNNNNNNNNNNNNNNNNNNNNNNNNNNNNNNNNNNNNNNNNNNNNNNNNNNNNNNNNNNNNNNNNNNNNNNNNNNGCUUUUGCGGUACCGCAUUUGCGGUUAUUUCUCCGCUUCUGCAGAUAUCACUUAGCUUAUGAUUUUUCCGCUUCUGCGAUCCCUCAUUCGCAUCUGCGAUAUCGCAGAUGCGGUCCAUCUCACCGCUUCUACGGUUCCUGACCGCCUCAUCAUUUUCUGCUUCUACAGCUGCUCUUCUGCACGUCCGGUGUCGCACCUGCGGUCCCCAAUCUGUAGGUGCGGAAAUACCAGAAGAGUAAAGUUCAACAACUGUAACAAGGUUUCAAACUCCCCGUCAACCAUUCAAAAUCAUCCCAAGGCCCCCAGACCUCAACCAAAAGCACAAACAUAUCCUAAUACCUUAUUCGAACUUGUUCCAAUCAUCGAAGUAUCUCAAACAACAUCAAAUCACCCAAAACAAAUUAAAUUCAAGCCAAACUUUCUAAAAUCUUCUGAAUUUCACUUUUGAUCCAAAAACCCAACCAAACCACGUCCGAAUGACCUGAAAUUUUGCACGUACAUCCCAAAUGACACAACGGAAUUACUACAACUUUCGGAAUUCUAUUCUGACCCAUAUAUCAAAAUCUCGCCUACCAACCGGAAAUCGCCAAAAUAUCAAAUUCGCAAAUUCAAGCCUAAAUCUACUCUGAACCUCCAAAACUCAUUCUGAUCAUGCUCCUAAGACAUAAAUCACCUCCCGAAGCUAACCGAACCAUCGAAACUCACAUCCGAGCCCUCUAACAGAUAAGUCAACAUCCUGUUGACUUUUUUCAACUUAAGCUUACUUAAAAGAGACUAAGUGUCUCAAACCUUACCAAAAUCAUUCCGGAUUCGAUCCGACCAACUCGAUACCACAUAACACGGAUAAACAAAACAUAAGGAAAGCAGAAAUGGGGGAAACACAUCGGUAACUCAUGAGACGACUGGCUGGGUCAUCACAUCCUCCCCAACUUAAACAAAUGUUCAUCCUCGAACGAGUCAAGACACAUACCAGAAGCCUCAAACAGGUGAGGAUAUCUGCUCCGCAUCUCCUGCUCGGUCUCCCAGGUAGCCUCCUCCACGGGCCGACCUCUCCACUGCACUUUCACUGAAGCUAUAUCUUUCGACCUUAACUUUCGAACCUGACGACCCAAAACAGCUACUGACUCCACAUCAUAAGUCAAAUUAUCAUCCAACUGAACCGUGAUGAAAUCCAAAACAUGAGACAGAUCCCCAAUAUACUUCCAGAGCAUAGAAACAUGAAAUACCGGAUGCACACUCGAUAAGCUGGGUGGCAAGGCAAGCUCAUAAGCCACCUCUCCAAUCCUCCGAAGCACCUCAAAAGGCCUAAUCAACCGAGGACUCAAUUUCCCCUUCUUCCCAAAUCUCAUAACACCCUUCAUGGGCGAAACCUUAAACAGAACCUUCUUACCAACCAUGUAGGACACAUCUCAAACCUUCCUAUCAGCAUAACUCUUUUGUCUCGACUGCGCUGUACGAAGCCUCUCCUAAAUCACCUUCACCUUUUCUAAGCAUCCUACACCAAAUCUGUCCCCAAUAGCGUAGCCUCACCGGGCUCAAACCAACCAACUGGAGAUCUACACCGCCUCUCAUACAAAGCCUCAUAUGGAGCCAUCUGAAUACUCGCCUGGUAGCUGUUGUUAUAAGCAAACUCUGCAAGCGAUAGAAACUAAUCCCAUGACCCUCCGAAAUCAAUGACACAAACAUGCAACAUGUCCUCCAAUAUUUGAAUAGUGCGCUGGGACUGCCCGUCCGUCUAAUGGUGAAAAGUUGUGCUCAACUUAACCUGAGUACCCAACUCUCACUGCACAGACCUCCAAAACUUCAAAGUAAAUUGAGUGCCCCUAUCUGAAAUGAUGGAAACUGGGACACCAUGCAAAUGAACAAUCUCCUGGAUAUAGAUCUCUGCCAAGCGCUUUAAAGAAUAAGUAGUACACACAUGAAUGAAGUGCGCGGACUUGGUCAGUCGAUCCACAAUCACCCAAAUAGAAUUGAACUUCCUCAAAGUCCGUGGAAGUCCAACAACAAAGUCCAUAGUGAUCAUCUCCCACUUCCACUCGGGAAUAUCCAUCUACUGAAGCAAGCCACCCGGUCUCUGAUGCUCAUAUUUCACCUACAGGAAAUUGAGAUACCGAGCUACGAAUCCCACAAUAUCUUUCUUCAUUCUCCACCACCAAUAUUGCUGCCUCAAAUCCUGAUACAUCUUCACGACACCCGGAUGAAUGGAAUACCGCGAGCUAUGGGCCUCCUCAAGGAUCAACUCCCUAAGCCUAUCCACAUUGGGCACACAGAUCCGGCCCUGCAUCCUCAACACCCCAUCAUCUCCAAUGGUCAUGUCUCUAACAUCAUCAUGCUAAACUCUGUCCUUAAGGACAAACAAGUGUGGAUCAUCAUACUGGCGCUCUCUGAUGCGAUCAUAUAAGGAAGACCGAGAAACCACACAAGCCAUUACUCGACUUGGCUCCGAAAUAUCUAACCAUAUGAACCGAUUGGCCAAGGACUAAACAUCAACUGCAAGAGGUCUCUCCCCAACUGGAAUAUAUGCCAAACUCCCCAUACUCACUGCCUUUCGGCUCAAGGCAUCGGCCACCACAUUGGCCUUUUCAGGAUGGUAUAAUAUAGUGAUAUCAUAAUACUUAUGCAACUCCAACCAUCUCUUCUGUCUCAAAUUAAGAUCCUUUUACUUGAACAAAUGUUGAAGACUACGAUGAUCAGUGAGCACCUCACAAGAUACGCCAUACAAGUAAUGCCAUCAAAUCUUCAAUGCGUGAACUAUGGAAGCCAACAUUAAAUCAUGAAUGGGGUAGUUCUUCUCAUUGGGCUUCAACUGACGAGAAGCAUAAGCAAUAAAUCUACCCUCCUGAAUCAAUACACAACCAAUUCCAACUCUCGAAGCAUCACAAUACACGGUAUAUGAACCUAAAGCUGAUGGCAAAACUAACACUGGAAUUGUAGUAAAAGUUGUCUAGAGCUUCUGAAAGCUCUCCUCACACUCGUCCGACCAUACAAAUGAAGCACCUUUCUGAGUUAACUUGGUCAAGGACGAUGCGAUAGAUGAGAAUCCUGGAAUAAAAUGGCGAUAAUAACCCGCCAAACCAAGAAAGCUGUGAAUCUUUGUGGCUGAGGACGAUCUAGGACAACUCUGAGCCACCUUUAUCUUCUUCAAAUCAAUCUGAAUACCCUCAUUGGACACCACGUGCCCCAAGAAAGCCACUGAACUGAGCCAAAACUCACACUUGGAGAAUUUUGCAUAAAGCUUCUCCUCCCUCAAUCUCUGCAACAUAACUCUCAAAUGCUCCGUAUGCUCCUCCUAACUACGCGAAUAUACCAGAAUAUCAUCAAUGAAGACUAUGACAAACGAGUCAAGAUAAGGCCAGAACACACUCUUCAUCAAAUGCAUGAACGCUGCUAGGGCAUUGGUCAGCCCAAAAGACAUUACCAAGAACUCAUAAUGACCAUAUUGAGUCCUUAAUGCGGUCUUAAGAAUAUCUGAGUCCCUGAUCUUCAACUGGUGAUAACCUGAACAUAGAUCAAUCUUGCAGAACACUCUUGCUCCCUGAAGUUGGUCGAAUAAAUCAUCAAUGCGAGGAAAAGGAUACUUGUCCUUAAUUGUUACUUUGUUCAAUUGCCUAUAAUCAAUGCACGUUCUCAUAGUNNNNNNNNNNNNNNNNNNNNNNNNNUAACUUUCUUCAACUCCGCUGGUGCCAUACAAUACGGCAGAAUAGAAAUGGGCUGAGUGCCCGGUACCAGGUUAAUACCAAAAUCAAUAUCCCUAUCUGGUGGCAUGCUCGCCAGGUCAGCAAGAAACACAUCGGGAAAAUCCCUCACAACUGGAACAGAAUCAAUACUAGGAGUCUCAGUACUGACUUCCCUCACAAAGGCUAGAUACGAAAGACAACCCUUCCCAACCAUAUGCUGCGCUUUUAAGAAUAAGAUCACUCUACUGGGAACAUAAUCAGUCAUACCUUGCCACUCAAUCCGUGGCACACCCAGUAUAGCUAAUGUGACUGUCUUAGCAUGACAGUCCAGAAUAGCACAACAUAGAGAUAGCCAAUCCAUGACCAAAAUGGCAUCGAAAUCCACCAUACACAAUAAUAAAAGAUCCACACGGGUCUCCAGACCCCCAAUAGUCACCACAAACGAUCGGUACACACGAUCUACAAUAAUAGUAUCACCCACCGGGGUAGAUGCAUAAAUAGGUGAAGCAAGAAACUCACGGGUGUACCCAAAUAAUGAGCAAAGUAUGAUGACACAUAAGAAAAGGUGGAACCGAGAUCAAAUAAUACAGAGACAUCUCUGUGGCAGACUGAAACAAUACCCGUAAUAACUGCAUCUGAAGCAAUAACAUCGGGUCUACCGGGAAGUGUAUAGAAAUGGGCCUGACCACUACUUGAUCUACCUUCCACUUGGGGGUGACCCAUAACUAACUGACCUCCACCCCUAUCUGGCUGGGAAGGUAGUGGUGAAGUAACUGGCGCUAAAGCCGAUGCUUGACCCCUCUGCUGAGAUGAGCUCGCAAGAUGAUGAUGGAACUGCCUCCACAUAAGACCCAUCUUACCACACUCAUAAGAAAUCCUAAGUUCUAGAGAAGGGGACUGAAGGGAACCCCUCGCACCAGAGUGACUAGAGAUGCACUCGGCAUAGAAGAGCCCUGAACUGAUGGAGCACGGGACAAACUCUAAGCUAGAAGGGCACUAAGUGAUGACUGACCCUGAUGAGAACUAUGAGAACCAUAACACGAUGACGCCCUAUGAUAACCUGGGCGAGCUAGCUGAGCAUGCCUGAAUGGACGACCUUUGCCAUGCUGAAACUAACCCCUCAAAGGAGUACCACUGUAACUACCAGAUCCUCGAGGCCUCUUGUCCUCCCUCUCCUCGCGCUCCUAGCAACGAACACACUCAAUCUCCCGGGCAAUAUCCAUAACCUCCUCGAAAGUAGGAACAAUCACUCUCUCUGGUCAUGAUAAUACGAAGCUGAUAAGUGAGGCCAUCCACAAACCUCCUAAUCAUCUAUCUAUCUGUUGGAACCAUCCAAAUAGCAUGACGAGCUAACUCAGAGAACCUCAUCUUGUACUGCGUCACACUCAUCUCUCCUUGACGCAGCCACUCAAACUCUCUAUACAGCUCUUCUGUGCGGGACUGCGGCACAUACUUCUCCAAAAGGAGAAUGGAGAACUGCUGCUAGGUAAGGGGUGCUACACCAACAGGCCUACACCUCUCAAAAGCCUCCCACAAAGUAAACGCAGCUCCAAAAAACUGAUAGGUAGUGAAAGAGACUCCGUUGGUCUCAAGAGUACCCGCUGUACGAAGCAUCCUCUGGCACUUAUCAAAGAAACCCUGGGCAUCCUCGCCCUCUGCACUACUGAAGGUCGGAGGCUGAAGCCUACCAAACCUCUCCAAUGUACGCUACUCAUCCUCCGUCAAAGCAAGAACUACAUAGUCCUAAGCAACUGCAACCGGCUGGGCUGGAUGUGCCCCCAACAUCUGAAGUCCCUGCACGACCUGCUCAGGUGUGGGAGCGGCGGGAGUCUGAUUGCCUCCCCCAGUCUGAGAAGUAGCUGUGGCUGUAGUGGCUGAAAUCGCUUGAGCUAGGCCAGUGCAAACUACUGAUAAGAUCAGAGCCAAGGCCUCCUGAAGACUCGGAAUCACAAUGGGCACAGCUGGUGCUUAAGCUGGUGUUGAAGGAGCGUCCAUAACUGGGACCUGAUCCUGAACUGGGGCAGCUGGUGGAUCUACAGGUGCUGCCCUAGUUGCUCUGCCCCUACCAUGACCACGGUCGCGUCCUCGGCCUCUGGUGUCCACAACUGGUGGUAUUGAUGGUCGUCCAUCCUGACUGGUAGUGCGUGUCCUCACCAUCUAUGAGAGAAUAAAACAACAGAAGUUUAGUACUCGGAUCAACAAAUUCGCACGACAAGGAUUUCAAGAAUAUGAAGUUUUUCCUAAAGGUGUUGCAACCUCUCGAGGAUAAAUACAGACGUCUCUAUACCGAUCCACGAGACUCUACUAAACCUGCUCAUGACUCGUGAGACCUAUGUAACCUAGGCUCUGAUACCAACUUGUCACGACCCUAAAUCCAGACCCGGUCGUGAUGGCGCCUCUCGUGAAGACAAGGCCAACGACACUUUCCAUUUUCCAAUUAUUAACAGUUAAGCAUUUAAGAAACGGUAUAAACAUGAUAAAAUAAAUUCGAAAUAACAAUGAUAACAUAAACACGCGGAAGAACAACCAUACACAGCCCUAACCGGGGUGUCACUAGUCAUGAGCAUCUAUAAGUCAUAAUACAAAUCCGCUAAGUCAAUAAACUAGUACAACUAUCUGAAAAGAGAUAGAAGUGAUAAAGGAGUAGAGACACGGGGCUGCGGACGCCAAUAGCUACCUCGUGAACUCCGAAUAUCCGCCUGAAGCUGGAGGGAUCAGCACUCGGGAGCGGAACCAGCUACGCCUGAAUCUGCACACAGGGUGCAGGGAAUAAAGUGAGUACUCCAACUCAGUGAGUAAAAAAUGUAAAUAACAACUGAAAGUAAGAGAACAUUUAAGGCACAAUGCAUUCUAUAAUGAAGCAGUAAAAUAGUAUAAAAGCAGUAAACCAGUGAAAAGUUAAGUAACAAUCCUUUUUCAACAAGUAAACAGGUAAUUGUCAGGCAGUUAAGGUAAAGUAAAUAAAUGGAAGUUCGCCCCUUGGACACAGUAUCAACAAAUUCGCCCCUCUGGUGACAUCUUAGAACAAUACCAGCCCCUCGGGCUCAAUCUCACAUCACGAUGGGUACCCACACUCACUGGGGGUGUAUAGACUCCUGGAGGGGACCCUUAUGGCCCAAGCGCAAUAUCAAGCCACCUCGUGGCAUCAUCACUAGGCCCUCGGCCUCAUAUCAAUCAAGCCACCUCGUGGUGCACAUAUCUCAGGCCCUCAGCCUCAUAAUCAGUAUCAAAUGUCUCCUCACAACAUAGGCCCUCGGCCUUACUCAGUGAAAUAUCCUCACAAGCCACUCGGGCUAUAGUAAAAAAGUGUUUCUCAUCCCAAAACAUCAUUUAAAAUAUCCUUUAAGUAUUAAAACUGAGCAAACAUGGCUGAGUAUGAAAACAGUGAAAAAUAACAUGACUUAGUUCAAGUAUAUAGUAAAAACAGUGAGGAAAUAUCAAUAAAAAUCCCCGAAGGGUUCAAAUAGUUGGCACGAAGCCCAAAUAUGGCAUGAAGCCCAAAUAUGGCAUUCAGCCCAAAUCAUGAUGAUGGCAAAUAGAUUUCAGUCAAAUACGAGGUAAAAUAGUCAUUCGGAACGGACUAAGUCACAAUCCACAAUAGUGCAUGACCCCACACUCGUCAUCCAGCGUGUGCCUCACCUCAAUAUAGAACUAUGAUGUGCAAAUCCGGUGUUUCAAACCCUCAGAACAUCAUUUACAAUCAUUACUCACCUCGAACCUAUCAAAUCUCAAGCUCGCGACGCCUUUACCCCUCGAAUCAGCCUUCCCUCACGUCGAAUCUAUCCAAAAUUAGAAUGAGGACAUCAAAAUAAGCUAAGGGAACGAAGCCUAAGCGAAAACAAUCAGUAAAUAGCACAAAUCCCAAAAUUACCAAAACCCGACCCCCGGGCCCACGUCUCUAAAUUCAAUAAUUUUUUCAUCAAUAGAUUCCUUAUCUCCCUACGAGUUCAUACAUAUCAAAAGUUCUGAAAUCCGACCUGAAAUGGUCCUUCAAAUCCUCAAUUAAAGACCUAAAUUCCCAAGCCGUAGUUUCCCCGAUUUUCACCCUUAAUUUCCAUGAUGUAUAGCCUUAAUCCAUGAAAUAAUAACAUAGGAACAAGCUUUAGGUCCAAAUUCCUUACCUCAAUGAAGUUCACUUGAAAUCCCUCUUUCAAUUCGCCCAAAAAGCUCCCAAGCCGAGAUAAAUAUGGUGAAAUAGCUCAAAAUUCGCGAAGGCUACAAUUUAUACCUUCUGCUCAGUCAUUUUUGCAUCUGCGGCACAAUACCCACUUCUGCGGUACCGCACUUGUGGAUAUUUCUCCGCUUCUGCGGAUAUCACUUAGCUUAUGAUUUUUCCGCUUCUGUGAUCCUUCAUCCACAUCUGCGACAUAGCAGAUGCGGUCCAUCUCACCACUUCUACGGUUCCUAACUCCCUCAGCAUUUUCCACUUCUGCGGCUCCUCUUCUGCACAUGCGGCGUCAUACCUGCGGUCCCCAAUCCGCAGGUGCGGAAAUACCAUAAGAGCAAAGUUCAGCAGCUGCAACAAGGUUUUAAACUCACCGUCAACCAUCCGAAAUCAUCCCGAGGCCCCCGGGACUUCAACCAAAAGCACAAACAUAUCCUAAUACCUUUUUCGAACUUGUUCCAAUCAUCAAAAUACCUCAAACAACAUCAAAUCACCCAAAACACAUCAAAUUCAAGCUAAACUUUCUAAAAUCUUCCGAAUUUUGCUUUUGAUCCAAAAACCCAACCAAACCACAUUCGGAUGACCUGAAAUUUUGCACGCACAUCCCAAAUGACCCAACGGAAUUACUGUAACUCUCUGAAUUCCAUUCCGACCCCUAUAUCAAAAUCUCGCCCACCAACUAGAAAUUACCAAAAUAUCAACUUUGUCAAUUCAAGCCUAAAUCUACUGCGAACCUCCAAAACUCAUUUCGAUCACGCUCCUAAGUCACAAAUCACCUCCCUAAGCUAAAUGAACCAUCAGAACUCACAUCCGAGCCCUCUAACACAUAAGUCAAUAUCCACUUGACUUUUUUCAACUUAAGCUUACUCAAAAGAGACUAAGUGUCUCAAACCUUACCAAAAUCAUUUCGGAUUCGAUCCGACCAACCCAAUACCACAAAACACGGAUAAACAAAACAUAAGGAAAGCAGAAAUGGGGGAAACGGAGCGGUAACUCAUGAGACAACUAGCCAGAUCGUCAGACAAUCCCUAUCAGAUUCGAUAAUAUUAAUUGAGUAAAAAGUAAACUGAAAAAAAAAGAAAAAUUGAGUGGAAAAAAAAGAGAAAAGAAAAAAGUGAAAAAAAAGAAAGAAAAAAGAGAGUGACAAAAAAUAAAAGAGUGACAAAAGAAAAGAAAAGAGAGUCCUAAAAAAUAAAAGAGCGACAGAAAUGAAAUGGAAAAAAAGUCAAGAUUGAUUAAAGAGAGGCAAAAAUAAAAGAAGAGAGGUACAUACUGAAAGAGGUUCGUUAAGGUCGCGAUGAAACAUGCAACCGUUCAAACACAAGGUAGAAGUAUUUAACUGUUAGGUGCAUUGCAUCCCAACAUGCGAUUUCCUAUAUGUUAAAUGUCUCAAAACUAACAAGGUUGUGGUGUGAUCAAAUUAGCUAGGUUCUGUUCAGGUGGUUGGUUUUGCUGGUAUGCGAUGAUGAACGCGCAACCUUGCACACGGCCACAACAUUAUACACAAAACCGAACUCCACCUCCCAGAAAUGCCUAUCCUUACCAAGCUCCAUAUAAUCCCUAAUCAAAUGUUCCCUAGUACAAUCCUCACCCAAGAGAGCCUUUCAAAAUGAAUCACUUCACCCCUAUUUGGGAAUCAUACUCGGGCUUGUUCCAAAAGCUAGUCAGGCGAGGUUUGCUGUAGCUAGUGGCCCCAAACCGGCCAAAGCCCGAGUUUCGCUCGCAUCGAGCUGAUGCUAGAUGUAAAUACCACUCUGGAGCAGUGGGACACAAUACAGAGGAUUGUUAGAUCCUCAAAAGGGAAGUUGAAAACUUGAUUGAAGCUGAAAGAAUCAUUCUCCGAGACGAAGAGGCUCCUGAUGUGAUGAACCAUCUGUUUCCUGCUUACCAUGAGGAAUUCGAUCCGGCACUGAAGGCCAUUGUAUCCAUCGCCAAGACAGAAGAAAAGCAAAAUGGCCGCCAAGCCUAAAAGUUCCCUAUCAGAUGAGAAUCUUGGUAGCAAGUCUUGCUAUACUUUCUGCGUCCGGAUUAUCUCGGGGUGUGAUCCUAAUGUUUUACUUUAUUAUCUUACUUUCCGAUGUAAACCCUUCUAUUUUUAAAAUUAAAAAAAAACACAAAAAAAUCAAAUAAAAUUAAUAUUUCAUCGUCUAGGAAUUUCUUUUUUCUUAAUCUUGUCACUUUUCUUAUUCUCUUUUUAGUUCUGUUAAAAUGAAAAUUUCAAUCACAUGACAUGCUUGCGGACUUCAUGCCCGUAUCCUAAAACAUUGUUAGACCUCGAAAUAAUGAAUCAAGAAUUAGAUUGCAAUGAAGAUAAGUUCAAGGAAAUAAAACAAAGAGUUGGAACAGCUUCAGGAAAAUUGGUUCCAGAUUGGAAAGGUCCAUACAUCGCAACAAGAGUACUGCCAAAAGAGUGCAUUGUACUUGGGACACAUCAAAGGAAAUGUCCCUAAAACAACUGUCAAUGCAAAUGCAGCCAAAAGGUACUAUGUUUGAUCCUUCAUAUAGUAUUAAUAUUCUCCGGUUGGGAUGACGAAGGCUUUCAUUCUCACUACCCAAACACCAUUAACCCUUUUGUAAACUAUUUGAGCUGGUUACUCUUCUUUAAUUACCCUCUUUGGAACCUAAAAAUGUUAUUGAAAAAAAAAUAAAAAAGGAGAAGAAAAGAACAAUAAAAAAAGAAGAAAAGACAAAGAAAAUGAAAAAAAAGAUAGGAAAAAGGAAACAAAAAAGAACGAGAAAAAAAAGAAAAUCAAAAACAAAGUUCCCUGAACUAUGUUUGACUUGAUUCCGAAAGGAUACGUAGGUAGCCUCUCUCUGGGGUUCAGUCACACCAAAAUAAAAAUCUAGAUUCCCAAAAAAAUAGAAGCUGAAACUGGGGCAGAAGUUAUAAUGGUUUGGCGAUGGUUUUCGCCUGAAAGGUUCCAAAGUUGUAAUUCAAUCCAAAUUCUUUUUAUCCCAAAUCCUAUUCAAGUCCUUCCGACCAAUAGAUAAAGAUUUCCAAUUGGAGGAUAUAGUUACUUGGACCUGAUACAACCAAAUGAGAGAAAUAAAAUGAGAGAGUCUUAUUGGUGAAAACCCACACGAGCACCGUGAGGCGACAGUAAACAGAGAAAAUAAAAAUGAGAGAGUCUUGUUAGUGAAAACUUGUAAAGAGCACUAUAAGGCGAUGGUGAGAAGAGAAAUGAGAGAGGUCAGCUCGUGAAAACCCGCAAAGGGCGCCCCUGAUCGAAAAGAGGAUCCUCAUAGCCAUCAGCAUCGACAGAGUCCUGGCAAGGUUUCUCAGAUUUUGAGGCAAAAGUUGUGAUGAAUUUUUGAAAGUCGGAUGAUUUACACAGAUCAGGCAUCCAGUCCAAAAGGUAUGUCAUAUUCAUUAAAGUCCGCAUGUACUCCAGAUAAGUCCUUCUUUCCUUUACCCAAAAGGGACACUUCUUGUUUUAAACUCAUUCUCCAUUCCAUUGUUUGUUUUCUUUGAAUCUCUUUCGGUCUAAAUCUGUUCCGAAACUAAGACAAACAAAGGAUGGUAAGACUGAUUUACAUGGUUCUCAUUUGAUACAAGUCAAUAUGCAAAAGUCACCAGUCUCGGGAGGGGCAUCAAGUCGACCUCGACUGGCCAUAGUGGCUGAUGUUUUGAAAUUGAAAACUCUUGGAAGGAGAAAAUCAAAUUGAAGUGCCUAUAAAAAAAUAAAGUUGAAAAGGUUGUGUCCCAUGCAGCUAACUAUUCCGGCAAAGGUUUGAAAAGCCAAGGUACCCCAAAUGCUUUGAAACUGAAAUUGGAAGAAAGAAACUAGAAAUGAAAGCCUACAAAGGCGAAAUAAAGUUGAAAGGUUAAGUCCUACACAACUAACCGUUGCAGCUAAGUUUGAGGAGCCAAAAGUUUCCCAAUGCUCCGAAGUUUUUAUAAAAAAAGAAAGAAAAGAAAAAACGAUGAAGAAGAAAAAUAACAAGUCAGAAAAGAAAGGCCUAGAAGGAAAAAUAAAGUCGAAAAAUUUGAGUUCCACCGACCAACCGUCAUGGCAAAGUCUGGAAAAACUAGAGGUUCUCCAAGGCCUGAAAUAAAAUCGGUCCUCAGGGAACAAGCAGUUGCAGUUGAGAUCUUCAUCAAAGAAGUCGGGGCGAGAUUAAGUGAUUGAAACGCUCAAGGCCACAAAACCAAGCAUUGUUUCAAAUUGACAAAUUGUUCUUUGUUUUGAAAAAAAAAAAUAGGAAACAUGUGCAAUCCAAAAGCAACCUUGCAAGAAGCAGGUGCGACCAAAAAGAAACUUCGCAAGGGCUAGAAACAGCUUUGCAGCAACAACCCAAAAAGGGAAGUCUCUUCCAAAAAUCUUUCCCGCAUUUACUCAUUCUCUAAAAUAAAAAAAAUGACAAUGAAAUGAAAAGAAAGAAAAGAAGAAAAAUUCAAAAUCAUGGUAGUAUAGGGUCUCCAAUCCCUAGCUGCGUCUUUUCCAGCAUAGGGUCUCACUCCCUAGUUGAUGCCGGCAUAACCCGAUGACUUUUCCAAUAUAGGGUCCCACUACCUAGUUGAUAACGACAUAACUUGGUGAUUUUUACAACAUAGGUUCCCACUCCCUAGUUGAUGCCGGCAUAACCCGAUGACUUUUUCCCACAUAGGUUCCCACUCCCUAGUUGAUGCCGGCAUAACCCGAUGACUUUUCCNNNNNNNNNNNNNNNNNNNNNNNNNCUUGAUGCCCGCAUAACCUGAUGCCAACAUAGGGUCACCACUCCCUAGUUGAUGCCAACAUAGGGUCUCCAUUCCCUAGUGUUGAUACCCAAUUUUCCCUAUAUAUUUUUAAUCUGCAUAAAUACCUUCAAAAUAACAUGUAUAUAUGUAUAUAUAAGCAUGCACAAGGUUUUUAUAAUUUUUCCCAUAAUUUUAAGGAUUUAAAUUGAUUUAUUUCCUUCCCUUUUAUUCAUAAAAUCUCCAAUAAUUAUCCCUCAAAUUAUUUUUAUGGUGAUUUAGUCAUUUAAUUCUAUAUUUAUGCCAAAAUAGGGUUAAAAUAUUUUUUAUGCAUUUAAUAAUUGCAUUUUGUAUUUUUAAAGCUAAAUUGCGUAUAAUUGCUAUGUUAGCCCCAUUAAUGUACAAUUACAUUUAUAUGCAUAAAAUUGAUCUCCUAUAUUUUUAAAAUGUUAAAUAUCUAUUUUAAAUCAUUUUAGUACAUGAAAUUAUUUCUUAGAAAUUAUUUAUCAUUUAUUAUAAAUUAUUUAAGGAAAAUUGGCUAUUUAAAAUAUAGCCAGAUUUGCAUUUCAAUUGUAGCCCAAUUUAAACCCAACCCCAGCCCAAUUUCAGAUUAAAAACACCUGGCCCAAGCCCUAAACCCGCCUACCCAACCAAAUGCCAUUUUAAAUCUUGGCCGUUGAUCUAAAAGAUCAACGACCCUCGUCUGUUCUUACCAUUUUUAAUUCCAACGACCCCUAACCCUAGCUCAUUGUUCAGAUACCGCCGCUUCUGUAUUCUAUCAUCUCCUUUCCUCUCUCAACCACUCAACCUAACCCUAGCUCCUUCAACCGCCGACCUUCUUCUCCGGUCUUCUUCGGUGAUCUUCCUUAAACUCCUAAGCCUCCAUUGGCUCCUCUAAUGAUAUGCUUGCCUUCUAUAAGGUCUUCAAGGGCCCUGGGCCACACCGACUUGCAUCUAGGGUUUGCUAUUUGUCUGUUCUUGGCUACUUCAGUGUGAUUUCAAGCAAAAUCAUGUUGUGCUUGUUACGAUCCUUGGGAUUCUAGACCAGCUCUUUCAUCUCUAUUUGGCUACUUUAGUAUUUUACACUGUUGUUGGGACUCUUUUAAAAGAAUCAUCGAUUUCAGUUUAAAACUUUGUUUAAACUGAUUCCUUAUGUUUAAACUUCCAUCUCUUGCAUAUUCCGACUGAUUCUAUGAUUUUACUGUCUUUUCAACUCGCCUAUGUUGAAAGCCCUAAUUUUCUGGACUUCUUCGUUUGGUUCUGUGUAUUAGCAUGACUGCUCGUUUCUUGUUUGAGUUUCUAUGACUAUCUUGCUUCGAAUAUGUUCUUACUAAGUUCUUAGGCUAAUUUAUAUCACCUCUAUGGGCUUAUGUUCAUUUUGAUUGUUCGGACUUGCCUCUUUCUAUCGAUACUGUUUAACCUGCAUGCUUGCUAGGUCUGGUUAUUCUUAUCUUCUCUAUUUAUAUGAUGAAUACAGAAUCAUGACUCCCUCUUUGAUUGAUUCUGGAUUCCCUAUUUUUUGGAUUUGAUUGAAAUACCUUCCUUUAAACCCUCAAUUUCUACCUCUUCUAUUCAAAUUAACUGAUUCGCCUACCUUGUCUGUUGUGGUACUUUAUUCUUACUGGCUAUUUCCUUAAUUAAAGUGUUCUAAACUUAGCCCUAAUUGUUUACCUUAUACUUACUGAAUUUGAAUCUUUUCUUAUUAGUCAUACACUGAUUUUUUUCCUUAUAUGCUACUUGUUCCUACCGUUUGAAUUGAUUCCCUUAACUCUAGGGAGUACUUGUCCUGAUUUUGCUCUAAUUGGUUUUGAGUUCCAUAAUCGUUAUGCUACGAUGAUUCUUGCCUUAUUUUACCUAAUUUUCAAACUACUAUAUAUACACACUCUCUCACUAACACAAACACACGAACACUUUGGUUCAAAAGCUCUCUCUUUCUCACACUUAAACUUUCCGCUCUCUCUCUCUCUCUCUCUCUCUCUCACUCUCUCUCACUCUCUCUCUCUCUCUCUCUUGUGCUACUUGUUACUAUUUUGAGUUAGCCGGCUGCAAGCCAAUGAUAAAUAUUGCGCUCUCCUACUCUUUCACUCUUGCUUACUGUCUUCUUUACUGGUAUGUUCUAAUUUCAAUUCAAGGUCCAAAAACAAUAUGGUUCUUUUAUUGCUUUAGUUCAUCCUCUUUCUAGUUUGCUUUUACUUAUGGUUUUGCUGUGAAACCUACAGUUAAUUAUGACAACUCGGCCAGUUGUCUCAUGUGUUACCGCUUUGCUUUUCCCAUUUCUACCUCUUUAUGCUUUUUUUAUCCAUAUUAUGUGAUAUCAGGCUGGUCAGAUCGAAUCCGGAAUAAUUUUGGUAAGGUUUGAGACACUUAGUCUCUUUGGAAUCAGUUUAGGUUGGAAAAGUCAACCGGAUGUUGAAUUAUGUAUUAGAGGGCUCGGAUGUGAGUUUCGAUGGUUUGGUUAGCUUUGGGAGGUGAUUUAUGACUUAGCAGCGUUAUCGGAAUGAGUUUUGGAGGUUCGAAGUAGAUUUAGGCUUGAAUUGGCAAAGUUGAUAUUUUGAUGAUUUCCGGUUGAUAGGUGAGAUUUUGGUAUAAGGGUCGGAAUAGAAUUCUGAGAGUUGUAGUAGUUCCUUUGUGUCAUUUGGGAUGUGUAUGCAAAAUAUCAAUUCAUUCGGACGAGGUUUGGUUGGGUUUUGAUCAAAAGCGUAAUUUUGAAGAUAUUAGAAUUCUUAGGCUUGAAUUCGAUGUGAUUCGGUGUUUUGAUGUUGUUUUGAUUGUUCCGAAGGUUGGAACAAGUUUGAAUGAGGUUUUAGGAUAUGUUGGUGCCUUUGGUUGAGGUCCCGGGGGCCUUGGGUGAGUUUCGGAUGGUCAAUCGGACCAUUUCAUGCCUUGGAGAAGUUGCGAAAUUGCAAGUUCAGCUGUUGCAAAGAUUCCUUCUCUGUGAUCGCGUAGGGCUUCUUGCGAUGGCAUAGAAGCUUUUGAGGGGGAAGUCCAUUUGUUCUUCAUGUUCGCGAAGGUUGAUCUGCGAUCGUAUAGAAUGGUGAAGUUGUUGAUCGCGAACGCGUAGUGAAGGUCGCAUUCACGUAGAGUUAAGUGGACCUGGGGUCUUGACUUGAAUUUGUUCAUUACGAACGCGGUAGGAAGUCCGCGAUCGCGUAGAGUUAGUUGCCUGGGCAUCACGUUUGCAGGGUGUCUUAUGCGUUCACAUAGAGAAGUUUUUGGGUGCUGAGAAUUUGUGUUUCGCGAUCGCGAAGGAUUUCCCGCGAUCGCAAUGAAGGAAAAUAGGCCUAGGCAGAAGGUUUAAAAGGUCGUCUUGUCCGUGAAUGUGAGGUUUAUUUCCCCCAUUAUUGGUUGUUUUGGAGCUUUUUGAAGGAGCUUAAAGAGGGAUUUAAGGGGAAUUACUUGGAGGUAAGAUUCUUGGACUUAAAACUCGAUUCUAACGUGAAUUCCACCUAAAUAAUCAUGGAAAUUAAGCCAAAAAUUGAAGAACUAGGGCUUGAAAUUGGGGACCUAAAAUUUGGGAUUUAAAGGGUCAUUUUUGGAUGGAUUUUGAUGUUUUUGAUAUGUAUGAACUCGUGGGCAGAUAAGCAAUCCAUUGAUGUGAAUUUUUUUUGAAUUCCGAGCUGUGUGCCCAGGGGUCGGGUUUUGGUAAUUUCGGGAUUUGUGCUAUUUAUUGAUUGUUUUCGAUUGGGCUUCGUUCCCUUAGCCUAUUUUGACUUCCUUGUUCUGAUUUUGGAUAGAUUCGAUGUGAAAGGAGGCCGAUUCGAGGGGCAAAGGCAUCGCGAGUUAGAGAUUUGACCUGUUCGAGGUGAGUAAUGAUUGUAAAUGAUGUUCUGAGGGUUUGAAACCCCAGAUUACACAUCAUAGUGCUAUAUUAAGGUGAGGCACAUGCUUGAUGACGAGCGUGGGGUCGUGCACUCUUGAGGAUUGUGACUUGAUCCAUCCUGAUUGAUAAUUCUACUGCGUAUUUGACUGAAAUCUAUUUGUUGUCAUUAUUAUUUGGGUUGAAUGCCGUAUUUGGGCCUUGUGCCAACUAUUUGAACCCUUCGCGGAAUUUUAUUGGUAUUUCCUCACUGAUUUGACUUUAUACUUGAACUCAGUCAUGUUAUUUUCCACUAUUUUCAUACUCAGUCAUGUUUACUCAGUUUUAAUACAUAAAUGAUAUUUUAAAUGAUGUUUGGGCUGAGAAACACUGUUUUACUAUUGCCCAAGUGGCUUGUGAGGAUUUUGACUGAGUGAGGCCGAGGGCCUAUGUUGUGAGGAAACAUUUGAUACUGAUUAUGAGGCCGAGGGCCUGAGAUAUGUACGCCACGAGGUGGCUUGAUUGAUAUGAGGCCGAGGGCCUAGUGAUGACGCCACGAGGUGGCUUGCUAUUGCGCUUGGGACAGGGGCCCCUCUAGGAGUCUAUACACCCCCAGUGAGCGCUGGUACCCAUUGUGAUGUGAGAUUGAGCCCGAUGGGCUGGUAUUGUUCUAUGUGAUUGCCCGAGGGGCUGGUACUGUUCUGGUAUGUUGCUCGAGGGGCAGAUUUUUGAUACUGUGCCCGAGGGGCGAGCCUUUAUGUGUUUACUUUUCAUAAUUGACUGUCAAUCACCUGCUUAAUUAUUGAAAAAGGCUUUCUCAUGAAACUACAUUGGAGUUAAAGGAUUUUAAGUAUCUUUCACUGAUUCACUAAUUUUAAAUGGUUUUACUUCCUCAUUAUAGAAUGUUAUGUGCCGUACGUGAUUACUUGCUUUUAGUCUUUAUUUACCUUUGUUACUCACUGAGUUGGAGUACUGACAUUACUCCCUGCACCCCUGUGUGCAGAUUCAGGCGUUGUGGAUCCUGCAAGUGUAAGUUGAGAGCUCCUAGCACAUAUUAGAGACCACGAGGUAGUUGUUUGAUGUCCGUAGUCAUGUGUUUCUCCCUCUUUAUCAUUUCUAUCUUGUAUCAGACAUUUGUAAUAGUUAUAGACUUUUCAGACUUGUAUUAUGUUUUAUAGAUGCUCUUGACUAGUGACACCCUGGUAUCGAGCUGUGUUGGGUUGUUCUUCCGCGUAUUUAUGAUAUUAUCUGCUACUUUGGAUUAUUUUAUCAUGUUUCGACUAUUUCUAAAUGCUUAAUUGUUAAUAAAAUUGGAAAAUCGGAAGUGUCGGUUGGCCUUGUCUUCACGAGAGGUGCCAUCACGAUCGGGUCCGGGUUUAGGUCGUGACAAGUUGGUAUCAGAGCCUAGGUUACAUAUGUCUCAUGAGGCAUGAGCAGGUUUAGUAGUGUCUCAGGAUCGGUACUAAGACGUUUGUAUUUAUCCUUGAGAGGCUGCAGAGCCUUUAGGAAAAACUUCAUAUUCUUGAAAUUCUUGUAGUAUAAAUUUGUUGAUCCGAGUACUAAACUUCUAUUGUUCUAUUCUCUCAUAUAUGGUGAGAACACGUGCCACCGAGCAGGAUGGACAACCACCAGUACCACCAACUGUGGCCACCAGAGGCCGAGUGUUACACCCCAUGUUUUAGUAUGUAAGAGUACGUCAUAAGUCAAUUAAUGUAAGUUCAGAAAUGGAAUCAUCUUUCAAAAGUAUACAAAGUUAGUUCAUCAUGUUAACGUGGAUGUUACAAAUAUUUAAGAUCAUUGAUACCAUGUAGCAAGAGAGUUUGAAGGCUUAGAAGCUAAACAAAUUGAAUAAAAUAAGUUUCGUCGAAAGUCGACAAGUUGGAAUGUUUUACCAUGUACUUUUGGGGUGAAACUAGGGUUAUUAACACUAUAAGGAGAUUAUAAUAUGAGUUAUUUUAGUUGUAUGAUAGUUGGUGUUAUGGUUUGAAGUCAAGCGAGUUAUGGAACAAAAGUUGGAAAAGGUCAUCACAAGUUCCAUUAAUAAAUGUGCUGAAAAUUAGGUCAAAUGUAACUGAGCUUUUCUUCCAAUAUACUUCGAAUUAGGGGAUGAUAUACCUACAAAAUUAAAGAUCUAUGAGUCUAGUUUCUAAAUCAUUAAACCGUUCAUCAAUAUGAUAUCGGAGUAUUGAGAUAUUCGCAUUUUCGCGAGACUGCAGAGAUUAGUAGGUGACAAGUAAGUGCAUCACCUACUUGCCAAAAUGAGAGGACAAAAUUAUAAGCUCCAAAGUCGGACAAAAAGGGACUUUUAAGGGAUUAUCAACUCAGUUGUUUCACCUAUAUUUCAGACCAUGAAAACCAAAUUGAACCCCUGCAACUUCUCCCCAAAAAUCCCACACAAACCCUAGGGUAUUCCGGGUGUUACGAUGCGAUUCUAGUGCUGAAAAGUCCGGACAGCUUGCUAGUUUCUCUUUCUCCUUCUUGUAGCCAUGUUGAGGAACUUAUUUUUGAUGAAAAAGGACCAGGUUUCGUGGGUUAUACUCAGUACAAGGUAAGUUUAUGCUUCUCCUUCCAUUAUCUAUGCGUUUGCGAGUUGUAACUUGAUCGUAAAGAAUAGACCUAGCUAGUUUCGAAAGAAUGGUAUGUUGUUUGUUCUUGUGUAAUGGUUGGCUGAUUUUGAACUUAUUUAUAAGUUGAAUUCAUGUCUUGUUUAUUGGAUAAUAGGUACAAUGACAUACUUUUGGUUGUAUUUCACAAUUUGAAAGAAAAGACAAGUUGAAACGUGUUUAAGUAAACUGAAAAAUUAUUUUUGAGUUGAUGAACUUGUGGGACUAUUUUUGGGCUGUUUCGUAUUGGUAUUGGGUUUUAUAUUUUACUACUAUUAUUAUGGAGUUGAGAGGAGUAAGGGUGUGGAGAAACACCACAUAAUGACAAGGUUGUUGUUGGUCAUUCGUAGAAACAUUUUUGAAUUGUUUGACACUAUUAUGGUUGUCGUGUUGUGUAUGAAGUGAUAGGGGUAUGUUGGUAUGUUUGUGAUUGUUUUGACUAGUGUUAAGUCAUAUAUAUAGGGGAGGUGCUGUCCAUUUCAUUGUAAAAUAGUUGUGGUCGAUACAUAAUAGUUACGACGCUUAAACGAUAACGAGAGUGUCAUUUCUCUUAUUGUAGACUAAGGAGCCGUAAAAUUGCAUAGCUUGAGGUUGGGAAGAAUAUACAGGGCAUGUUAAGGCACUUUCUUCUUUCUUUUGGCAUGAUCUAAAAUGAAAUGAACAUAAACGAUAUGAUAUUUCAUAAUGACUCUACUCCUAGCAACUAAGGUUGUCCAUGUUGUUCUUUCCGUACAAAGUUAUUCUAAGAAAGUAUGUAUGAUCCUUGAGUCCUAGUGAAGUUCAUAUUGAUGGUAUGAUGUCCAUAAUGCUAAUCGAAGGUGCAAAUACCUUACAUCACUCCGAAAGGUUUAGAACGUGAUUCCAUGAGUCGAGCAUGCAUUAUAUAUAAGUAUCUAUUUUACUCUACCGAGCCGCACUAUAGUCGGCCGGGUACAACACCUAUUGUGGAACCACUGAUGAGUUGGGUUUACCGAGAUCCACGUGGCCGAGUACGAUUCUACCGAGCCUUAUGAUGGCCGAGUACGUUUUUACCGAGUCCUCUUUGAGGCCAGGUAUGAUAUGAUGAUGAUGAUUCCCAAAGAGGGGUAUGUUAUUUAAAAGUUUGUGUAUAUAUAUAUAUAUUAUGCAUUUCAUGUCAGUAGACCCCAGAGGCACUCAGAUGUUACAGGUUGUAUCUCCUCUAUCUCUCUUUACAUUACAGUUCUUAUAUAUGUUUUCCUGCCUUACAUACUCGGUAUUUUAUUGUCCCUUCUUUCUAGGGACGCUGUGUUUUAUGCCUGCAUGUCCCGAUUGAUAGGUUGACAGUCCUUCAAACAGGCUAUUAGCUCAGCGGAAGCUAUUGGUACACUCCACUUGCUCCGGAGUUGCCUAUUUGGUUAGUAUGCUUUGGAUAUGUAUUGAUUGGUAUGGCGGGGCCCUGUCCCGACCUUUAUGAUAUUAGGUACUCUUAGAGGCUUAUAGACGUAUGUCAAGUGUACGUAUACUUUUAUGGCCUUGUCGGCCUAUAUUUUGAGUUUACAAAUGGUCAGGUCGGCCUUAUAGGCCCGUAUGUCACAUAAAUAAGUUUGUAUAUCAUGUUGGGUCAUCAUAUAUUGAGUAUUCCCUUAUGUUUUAUUCUUGUUAUCUCAUGAAGAGUUUUCUGGCUCAUUUACCCAUGAUAGUAUGAUAAGAAAGAUAUGUUACGUUGGUACUCGGUUGAGUAAGAUACUGGGUGCUCAUCGCGGCCCAUUCAGUUUGGGUCGUGACAGAAGUGGUAUCAAAGCAGUUCCGUCCUAAGGAGUCUACAAGCCGUGUCUUGUAGAGUCUUGUUUAUGGGUUUGUCGUGAACCAUAUUUAUAAGCAGGAGGCUGCAGGGCAUUUAGGACUGUCACUCUUUAUUCUUACUCUAGAUCAUGUGGUAGAGCUCAAUUGUAAGAAUUCAAACUUCUAAAUUCUAUUUUAUUUGUAACACAAUGAUACCUCAUCCAAACAGAUAGUUGGUAAGAGAUUAAAUGUUGUUGUGGAAGAGUUGAGUCAAUGGAACUCGAUUUUGCAUCAUGCUUAUGAUGAGUAAAUGUAAGGUGUUCAACAGAUCAUCUAUGUACUAAGAUGUGUGAGCUUCUUGAUAAGGAGCCCCAAUGAAUGAAUAUCUAUCCACCCAUAUGGUAAAGAGAGACGAGAGAAUCAGGAGGUGGAUACAAGUUUCAAUAAGUAAAAGAAGCAACUUGAAAAAGGUUACGAGGCACCAGUUAGUGAAGGUUUUGAGUUUUUACAAUUUAGGUAGAGAAAUAUAUGUAUUCUGAGUUACAUUCAAUAGUAACAAAGGUAUGUACAAUUGGCCACACCCAUCUCUGUAUGCCCUAUGGAAGUUGACAGAUAUAGUUUAAGAGAAGAAAGAGAUAUCAAGAUCCAAUUGUGGCUAGAUUAACCCAAAAUGGUAGAUGGAUUAUUAUAAUUAGCUAACAUUUCCGAAGGAUAUUGCAAAUGUGGUAAUAGUUCUCGUUGUAAGACACCCCGGUGGUGCAAGCUAGAAUAGUACAUUUACAUAUGAAUACUAGAAUGACUGGAAAAAUUUAGAAGAAUGGCACUGGAAUCCUAGAAGGGAUAAAUAUUUACCUUUGUAUGGCUCUCGUUCCUAGUAAAGAGAGAAUGCUAGGUGACCUAAAGAGCCAGUGAGAUGAAGCAAUGGGAGCUAAAAGUGAAAGAAUAAUUUGUUGAAGUUAUCAGAAUAAAGUGAUAGACNNNNNNNNNNNNNNNNNNNNNNNNNUACAACACGAUGACAGAGUUUAUAGUCAAGUAAAGGAAGAUACAAGAGGUGACAUGACUUAAGGCAAUAAAAGAGUAUAAGACAUAAAGUCAUAUUCCCAUUUCGAGAAAUGAUUUGGUGACUCCAACGUGAUUACCAUAAGGAAAGGUUAGACCCCAGAGUGAUAGAAAUCAGUAUGGGCUGGUAAACAAGAUAAACCGAAUAUGAAUAAGGGACCGAAUGAGUUUAUAAUAUUCGUCAUCGUGAGAAUUUCAAAGAUAGCAUUGAAACAAUAAUAGAAUGGACAACAAAAGAAUAACCUUUAAGGUUUAUUCAGGAAGACGCUUCCCUAAAGCAAGCACAAUGAGCAGAGUUAAGCUUAAGGGACUAAGUGUACCAAUUACACUAAAUGUCACCCAUGUGCGUAAGAAAUUCAACUAUCCCCGGUAUAGAAAGGUUUCCUCAAGGUGAGUAAAAUGUCAGUGAAGAUGUGAAAAAAAAAUAACAAAGAUAAAGAGGUAACUAUGGGAUAUUAAAGGAAGCAUGCGGUGAAAGGUGAAAUGAAUGAGAAUGCAUCUGUUCAGAUCCUACAGAUAUGAUAUGACUCCAAAACCUUAUGCAAGUAUGAUGCCAGGAAGAAGCAAUAAGGUUUCAUCACUCGACGAUAUUGAUAAAUAAGUGCAAAAUAAACACUUGAUACACAAGGAGCCAGUACGAUAGGUAACUUAAGACAAAGUAAAUAACCAAAGAGAGAUUACGCGGAAUAUAGAUAUAAGAAUGGACCAACGAGUAGUUGUAGUUGAUUUAGGAAGAGCCAUGUUAUGGUUAGACAAGAGGUUAUAAGCAAAUCAGCAGAUCAUGCAAGAUAAACGUAGUGAAUCAUAAUAUAGUGAAUUCAAUCUCGCAGAUAUGAUGUCAUAACCCUUGAGAAAUGCUCAGAUAGGAGUUGGGGUAUUUAAAGGUAUUGUAUAAGUGUUACAGGAAUAAUCGAGAGUGUCAUUAAGGAGACAAUCAAAAUCUGAGUUUAGAAGUAACCCUACAAGCAUAAGGGCACGGAGGUAUGUAACUAAGGAUGUUUGUAGGCGAGUAAGAAUAUCGGAAAUUCCUUCAUGUAUACAGUAUAACAAGAUCACAACUUUACAAGAUCCAUAAGGUCUCCUAAGUAUUACCACGAAAGACUAGCUCAGGAAAUAAGGAAGAGGGCUUCAACCUAAGCAUAUUAACUUGAAGAAGAAUUGGUCUGGUAACAAUAGUCUCACUACAAUAUUAGAAGUACUCUGUAAGAAAGUGGCGUCUAUAGUAGCUAAUGAAUGGAAAAAAAAUCAAAGGUGGUGUUUGAGAUCAUAUAAGGUACAGGAAAUUAUAGUAUUUGUGGGAAAUAAGACAAGCCACAACAAGUGGCAGAACAAUCAGGAAAAGUAAUUGCUUACAUUUAAAGACAACUGAGAAGGCACAAAAAGGAAAUCUGUGGUGCUAGCAAGUUAAAGAAAGGAUGUGAGUAGUACAAAUAGAUAAGUGUAGGUCGCAAGCUAAAGUAUGACAGAGUGACAAGACUUUAGGUAUAUGGGAGUAAGGAUAAGAAAAGGUGAGUUAGGAGCUGACAAGAAUAGGUAAGACCUCGGUAUUAAGCCCAUCAAACAAGAGAGCUGAUGGUUUAUGUAUGUUAUAAAAACCUCAAUAUAGCUUUAAUUAACACGGAGGAGUCUAAGACUAGGAGCAUUUAUAAGAGAUGGAAUGCUGCCCUGGUCGUAAUGUAAGGGCGUAAUUCUGGUAAAUUAUAAAAGGAUGAUAUUUAGGCCUAAUGAUUCAAACAGAAGAGAUUUCAUGGAUGGAACAGGAUUAGUAUACCCCUCUAAGACGAAUCACAUUGGAAUGCUAUGAAAUACGGUUAUUGAAGAAUAGUACCGUCCCUAGGUGGAUUGGGAAAAUCACUUCAGAUGUUCCCCGAUGAGACGUGAUCCCCAGUGACAAUGAAUUACGUAAGAGGUUUCAAGUUAUCAGUGGUAGAUUAUCGAUCAACAUUAAGGUGAAUCACCAAUGGAUGGAUAAAAGUUACAAUGUAUGAGAUGAGAUUAGACCGUCACUAUUAUGAUGAACAGUAAUGAGGAAGCAUUAAAGGACUUUGAUGUAUACAUAUAGGACAAGCAGUGAAAGAGUAACCCGUAGCUGGGUGGCAGACCUCGGUAAUAAUAAACUGAAGUAAGCGUUAGGAUAUAGUAUGAACUACCUAGAUGUAGUAAAGCCAUAAGCAUAGAUAACCGAGGCUAUGAAGCAAGGUAUAGCAAUAGUCGUAAGUUCGACAAAGUACUAAGCGAAGAACUUUAGUACACCUAUAGAUGCCUAGAGGGACAUCUUGUCAUAGUUCUGCAUAUGUUCACAAAGUGAGGCCUAGAGAUUGGCUAAAAGCUGGAGGAAAAAGGAGAAAAGAGUCGCAUAGGCACCCAUGCAAGUAUAUGGUUGUACAUGAUGCAUGAAAGAAGGUAACAACAGUUACGAGAUUGGAAGAAUUCCGACCACAGGUCGUGGUAUGAGAAAGAGGCCUAAAAGGGGGAAUACCCUAGCCCUUAGAUUUAUUUACAGAACAGUUUCAUAGAUGUCAAGUACAAUAUUAAAAUAUUCAUAAGUGCUACAGGUUAUGAUACUGAUAAGUGCAUUAGUCAACAUUCGAGGAUGAAUGUUUCAAAGGGGGAAUGAUGUUACACCCCAUGUUUUCGUACGUAAGAGUACGCCAUAAGUCAAUUAAUGUAAGUUCAAAAAUGGAAUCAUCUUUCAAAAGUAUAUAAAGUUAGUUCAUCAUGUUAACGUGGAGGUUACAAAUAUUUAAGAUCAUUGAUACCAAGUAGAAAGAGGGUUUGAAGGAUUAGAAGCUAAACAAAUUGAAGAAAAUAAGUUUCGUCGAAAGUCGACAAGUUGGAAUGUAUUACCAUGUACUUUUGGGGUGAAGCUAGGGUUAUUAACAUUAUAACGAGAUUAUAAUAUGAGUUAUUUUAGUUGUAUGNNNNNNNNNNNNNNNNNNNNNNCUAGUUACUAAAUAAUUAAACCGUUCAUCAAUACAAUAUCGGAGUAUAGAGAUAUUUGCAUUUUCGAGAGACUGCGCAGAUUGGUAGGUGACAAGUAGGUGCAUCACCUACUUGCCAAAAUGAGAGGACAAAAUUAAAAGCCCCGAAGUCGGCCAAGAGGGGACUUUUAAGGGAUUAUCAACUCAAUUAUAUCACCUAUCUUUCAGACCAAGAAAACCAAAUUGAACCCCUGCAACUCCUCCCCAAAAAUCCCACACAAACCCUAGGGUAUUCCGGGUGUUACGACGCAAUUUUGGUGCUGAAAAGUCUGGACAGCUUGCUAGUUUCUCUUCCUCCUUCUUGUAGCUAUGUUGAGGAAAUUAUUUUUGAUAAAACAGGACCAGGUUUCGUGGGUUAUACUAAGUACAAGGUAAGUUUAUGCUUCUCCUUCCAUUAUCUAUGUGUUUGCGAGUUGUAACUCGAUCGUAAAGAAUAUACCUAGCUAGUUUCGAAAGAACGGUAUGUUGUUUGUUCUUGUGUAAUGGUUCACUGGUUGUGAACUUCUUUCUAAUUUGAAUUCAUGACUGGUUUAUUGGAAAAUAGGUAUAAUGAUGUACUUUUGGUUGUAUUUCUCAAUUUGAAAGAAAAGACAAGUCGAAACGUGUUUAAGUCGAAAUGAUGUCCUUAGUCAAAUUAUUUUUGAGUUGAUGAACUUGUGGGGCUAUUUGUGGGCUGUUUCGUGUUGGUAUUGGGUUGUACUUGUUACUGCCAUUUUUAUGGAGUUGAGAGGAGGAAGGGUGUGCAGAAAUACUACAUAAUGGCAAGGUUGUUGUUGGUCAUUCGUCGUAACAUUUUCGGAUUGUUUGACACUAUUAUGGUUGUCGUGUUGUGUAUGAAGUGAUAGGGGUAUGUUGUGAUGUUUGUGAUUGAUUUGACUAGUGUGAAUUCAUAUAUAUAUAUGGGAGGUUCUGUCCGUUUCAUUGUAAAAUAGGUUGUGUUCAAUACAUAAUAGUUACAACGCUUAAACGAUAACGAGAGUGUCAUUUCUCUUAUUGUAGACUAAGGAGCCGUGAAAUUGCAUAGCUUGAGGUUAGGAAGAAUACACAAGGUAUGUUAAGGCACUUUCUUCUUUAUUUUGGUAUGAUCUAAAAUGAAAUGAACAUAAACAAUACACUAUUUCAUAGUUACUCUACUCCUGGCAACUAAGGUUGUCCAUGUUGUUCUUUUCAUACAAAGUUAUUCUAAGAAUGCCUUAGAAAAGGUAAAGGUGAUUCACGAGAGGCUUCGUACAACGCAGUCGAGACAAAAGAGUUAUGCUGAUAGGAAGGUUCGAUAUAUGUCCUACAUGGUUGGUGAGAAGGUUCUGUUGAAGGUUUCACCCAUGAAAGGUGUUAUGAGAUUUGGGAAGAAAGGGAAAUUGAGUCUGCGGUUCAUUGGGCCUUUUGAGGUGCUUCUAAGGAUUGGGGAGGUGGCUUCUGAGCUUGCUUUGCCACCAGCUUGUCGAGUGUGCAUCCGGUAUUUCAUGUUUCUAUGCUCUGGAGGUAUAUUGGGGAUCCGUAUCAUGUUUUGGGUUUCAGCACGGUUCAGUUGGAUGAUGAUUUGACUUAUGAUGUGGAGCCAGUAGCUAUUUUGGGUCGACAGGAUCGAAAGUUGACGUCCAAGGAUAUAGCUCCAGUGAAAGUGUAGUGGACUACUUGGGAGACCGAGCGGGAGAUGCAGAGUAGAUAUCCUCACCUGUUUGAGUGGGAGAAUAUGACAACCCGACCAGUCGUCUAAAGAGUUACUGCUCCGUUUUCCCCAUUUCUGCUUCUUUAUGCUUUGUUUAUCCGUAUUAUGUGAUAUCGUGUUGGUCGGAUCAAAUCCAGAAUAAUUUUGGUAAGGUUUGAGACAUUUAAUCUCUUUGGAAUGAGUUUAGGUUGGAAAAGUUAACGGGAUGUUGACUUAUAUGUUAGAGGGCUCAGAUGUGAUUUCCGAUGGUUUGGUUAGCUUUGGGAAGUGAUUUGUGACUUAGGAGCGUGAUCGGAAUGAGUUUUGGAGGUUCAGAGUAGAUUUAGGCUUGAAUUGGCGAAGUUGAUAUUUUGGCGAUUUCCGGUUGAUAGGCGAGAUUUUAUAUAGGGGUCAGAAUAGAAUUCCAAGAGUUGCAGUAGUUCCGUUCGGUCAUUUGGGAUGUGUGUGCAAAAUUUCAGGUCAUUCGGACGAGAUUUGGUUGGGUUUUUGAUCAAAAGGGUAAUUUUGAAGAUUUUGGAAUUCUUAGGCUUGAAUCCGAUGUGAUUCGGUGUUUUGAUGUUGUUUUGAUCGUUUCGAAGGUUGGGACAAGUUUGAAUUAGGUUUUUGGAUAUGUUGGUGUCUUUGGUUGAGGUCUUGGGGGCCUCGGGUGAGUUUCGAAUGGUCAAUCGGGCCAUUUCAUGCCUUGGAGAAGUUUCAGAAUUGCAGGUUCAGCUGUUACAGAGAUUCCUUUUCUACGAUUGCGUAGGGCUUCCUGCGAUCGCAUAGAAGCUUUUGAGGGGACACUCAAUUUGUUCUUUGCAUUCGCGAAGGUUGAGCUGCGAUAGAAUAGAAUGGUGAAGUUGUUGAUCGCGAACGCGUAGUGAAGGUCGUGUUCGCAUAGAGUUAAGUGGACCUGGGGUCUUGACUUGAAUUUGUUCAUUGCGAACGCGGUAGGAAGUACGCGAUCACGUAGAGUUAGUUGCCUGGGCAUCGCAUUUGCAGGGUGUCUUAUUUGUUCGCAUAGAGUAAUUUUUGGGAGCUGAGAAUUUGUGCUUUGCGAUCGCGAAGGAUUUCCCGCGAUCGCAAUGAAGGAAAAUAGACUUGGGCAGAAGGUUUAAAAGGUCGCCGUGUCCGCGAAUGUGGGGUCUAUUUCCCCAAUUUUUGGUCAUUUUGGAGCUUUUUGAAGGAGAUUAAAGAGUGAUUCAAGGGGAAUCACUUGGAGGUAAGACUUUUGGACUUAAAACUCGAUUCUAAAGUGAAUUCCACCUAAAUAAUCCUGGAAAUUAAGCUAAAAAUUGAAGAACUAGGGCUUGAAAUUGGAGACCUAAAAUUUGGGAUUUGAAGGGUCAUUUGUGGAUGGAUUUUGAUGUUUUUGAUAUGUAUGAACUCGUGGGGAGAUAAGGAAUCCAUUGAAGUGAAAUUUUUUGAAUUCCAAGUCGUGGGCCCGGCGAGCGGGUUUUGGUAAUUUCGGGAUUUGUGUCAUUUAUUGAUUGUUUUCGCUUGGGCUUCGCUCCCUUAGCCUAUUUUGACUUCCUCAUUCUGAUUUUGGAUAGAUUCAAUGCGAGUGGAGGCCGAUUCGAGGGGCAAAGGCGUCGCGAGUUAGAGAUUUGACCGGUUUAAGGUGAGUAAUGUUUGUAAAUGAUGUUCUGAGGGUUUGAAACCCCGGAUUGCACAUCGUAGUGCUAUAUUGAGGUGAGGCAUAAGCUUGAUGACGAGCGUGGGGUCGUGCCAUCUUGGGUAUUGUGACUUGGUCGGUCCCGACUGAUGAUUUUACCGCGUAUUUGACUGAAAUCUUUUUGUUAUCAUCAUUAUUUGGUCUGAAUGCAAUAUUUGGGCCUUGUGCCAACUAUUUGAACCCUCCGGGAAUUUUUACUGGUAUUUCUCACUGAUUUGACUUUAUACUUGAACUCAGUAAUGUUACUUUCCUCUUUUUUCGUACUCAGCCAUGUUUACUCAGUUUUAAUACUUAAAUGGUAUUUUUAAAUGAUGUUUGGGCUGAGAAACACUGUUUUACUAUUGCCCGAGAGGUUUGUGAGGAUUUUGACUGAGUUAGGCCGAGGGCCUACGUUGUGAGGAAAUAUUUGAUGCUGAUUAUGAGGCUGAGGGCCUGAGAUAUGUACGCCACGAGGUGGCUUGAUUGAUAUUAGGCCGAGGGCCUAGUGAUGAUGCCACAAGGUGGCUUGAUAUUGCGCUUGGGCAGUAUGGGGCCCCUCCAGGAGUUUGUACACCCCUAGUGAGCGCGGGUACCUAUUAUGAUUUGAGAUUGAGCCCGAGGGGCUGUUAUUGUUCUAUAUGAUUGCCUGAGGGGCUGGUACUAUUCUGAGAUGUUGCGCGAGGGGCAGAUUUGUUGAUAUUGUGCCCGAGGGGUGAGCCUUAUGUUUUUACUUUUCAUAAUUGACUAUCAAUCACCUGCUUAAUUAUUGAAAAAUUCUUUUGGAGUUAAAGGAUUUUACCUAUCUUUCACUGAUUCACUGAUUUUAAAUGGUUUUACUGCCUCAUUAUAGAAUGCUAUGUGGCUUACGUGAUUUCUUGCUUUCAGUAUUUAUUUACCUUUGUUACUCACUGAGUUGGAGUACUCACAUUACUCCAUGCACCCCUGUGUGCAGAUUCUAGCGUUGUGGAUCCUGCCAGUACGAGUUGAGAGCUCCCGACAGAUAUUGGAGUCCACGAGGUAGCUUCUUGACGUCCGCAGUCCCGUGAUUCUUCCUCUUUAUCAUUUCUAUCACAUAUCAUACAUUUGUAAUAGUUGUAGACUUUUCAGACUUGUAUUAGGUUUUAUAGAUGCUCAUGACUAGUGACACCCCGGUAUCGGGCUGUGUUGGGUUGUUCUUCCGCAUAUUUAUGAAAUUAUCUGCUACUUUAGAUUAUUUUAUCAUGUUUGGAUUGUUUCUAAAUGCUUAAUUGUUAACAAAAUUGGAAAAUGGGAAGUGUCGGCUGGCAUUGUCUUCACGAGAGGCGGCAUUGCGACCGUGUCCGGCUUUGGGUUGUGACAUUAAUAUAAUUACCUAAUUAGCAUGUCAUGUACUCCCUUUCCUUAGGAUCAGUGUAAACAUGUUACCCCCUAUAUGUCUGAUCAAUUGUUUCUAAGCAUGUCUGUACCAAUUAUCUCUACCUGUUAUGUGUUUACCAUCAUGUGUUCCAUGUAUCCCCAAUCCCUAUCACCCCUGUAUAUAGGUUUGUUCCUUUUGUUUGGUUCUGUUCUCUUUAAGUAUUGUUGAUGUAGUUUUGGACUUCAUGUUUUAUUUACUAUUGUCUAAUCAUGCAACUCUCUUUUCAAAAUUCUAAGCAAACCUCCUCUUUAUAUUGUUUUCCUGUCGAAACCUUUCAACUUGUGUCAAGCUCUUUCNNNNNNNNNNNNNNNNNNNNNNNNNNNNNNNNNNNNNNNNNNNNNNNNNNNNNNNNNAAUUUUGGUUACCAAGUCUAGGUGUAAGCACUGCCCGAGAUCCUUGAGAUCCUUAGGGAACUUUGAUACACCUAGGCUAUGACAUUGUCUAUGGAAUUGAGGUAUUUGAGGCUAUUGGAGGCUUUGGAAACCUGGGCCUAUCUGUAGGCUCCCUACAGAAUAACUUCUUAUUUACUUAUGUAAUUUAUUCAUAUGGUCUGUAAUAACUUGUAAAUGAAUAUUGGUGUAAUUAGUGAAAAGGGUGGGUAGCUACAUGUUUGUGGGGUAAUACGGGUAGAAAACAUGCCUAUAGGUUUUUUACAUCUUGUCAUGUUUGUCUCAAAAUGUUAGAAAUCAUCCCUAUAGGUUUCAAGUGAUUCCAUAAUAGAAAUCAUGUUUAUAAGUCUUAAAAUCAGCUUCAAAAGUAGAUGCCAUGCCUAUAGGAUAUAAUCCAAAUCCGACUUCUGCUAUAACAAGUGUUUAUAUUUGUUUUCAUUGUCAUCAUGCUUGCAAGUCUUUAAAAUCAGUAUUAAACAAGUAGAUAUCAUGCCUAUAAGGAAAAACACCUGAAAUUCUGCCUAUAGAUCUAAAUUUGUUUGUAUUUAAUUAAUUUUAUCCGAUUAACGAUUACCUCACUUCGAAACUGGUUUAAUUAAUGGUCUAUUUUCCUGAAGCGAGUUCUUUCAAAAACUGCCUCAAUUUAUCAUUGACAUCAUGCCUAUAGGAAUUAAAGAGUUCAUUUCAAAACCUGCCUUGUUUCACUAUAUAAAAUGUAGUCAUCAGUAUUCCGCGUAUAGGUAAGCCUGUAUGGCAUUUUCAAAACUUGCAAUUCUGAAACUGUUUCUGUGACUUAAUGUUGUUAUGGUUUAAACAAGCUAUAAAAUCAGUAGGCAACUGAUAGGGUCAUUACUUCCGAGUUUAUAAAACAAGCUGCCUGUUUUUUGUAAAUUCACUUAGACAUCAUGCCUUAGGAUAUUGUUUAACAAAAAGGCCUUUAUUUGUGUUUGAGUCGUGUUGUUUACAUGCCUUUUCUGUGGAGGUAAACUGAGCCUCUUGUUUGCUCCUUCCUGCUCUUGUUUUCUAAGAGUCCUAUGUGUUAUUGCUUGUCGCCUGAGUAUUUUCACCUUUAAAACCUAAGGGGUCUGUCUAGAACCACCUAUAGGUAGAGGUCCAAAAUCCCCCCAGGACCAUUAAGAAGGGAUGAGUAACAGCACGCAAUAGAUAUUGCUGACCAAACACUCGCUUAAAAUGACUACUAAGGGGAUGGGAAGGGUAGAUAUGGGAUAUGAUGAUUACACACUAAUGUCAUGUGUAGCCCCUCAUUGAGGAGUGUUUACCGGACAUUGUGUGGGAUGAUUCUAUAGGCUAAGCAACCUAGGACUUUCCCUUUCCCGAAAUUCCUUUUGUUUAAGACUUUGUUUUAUACAACUUGUCCAAAAACUUCUCUCUUAUUAUUUGAGUUAUACAAACAUGCCUUAUUUGUAAUUAUUUGUUACAAGUAUUUGGACUAAUUCGUGACUAUAAGUUCGGCUGGGACCUACAGUUGUGGACCAAGAGGGGUGCCUAACACCUUCUCCUCGAGGUCAUUUCGAGCCCUUACCCUAAUCUCUAGUAAUGCAAACCAAUCCAAGAGUUAAUCACUCUAGGUGCCCUAAUGCACCAUAAUCCGUUAGGUGGUGACUCUUCAAAUACCCAAUUCCCAAAAGGAAAGGAGUUAUCACAUCCCAUGAAUGUCGAAACCCGGACCUCUCUCCACGGAGGGAAAAAAGGGGCACGACAGCAUGGCGACUCUGCUAGGGAUGCCUUUAAGGCUCUUACCAUAACGAACUUAUCUUUUUACUAAUUAGUCUAAGCAUGCUUUUAUCACGUACCCUUCUCCCUUAUUUGAAUUUAACUGUCCAUUUUUAAGCGUGUAUGUUUCUUUAUCCCUGAAACUGACUUGUCUCUUUGUUUUCUUUUCCUGUAACCGUCUUUCAAUUAUUUAAAUACUGUAUUUAUUUUUCCUUACGUGCAAAUACUUGACUACAUGUUAUUAAUUUCUGUAUAAAUCAUGCUCCACAUUAUAUUCCACUCGUGCGUAUCAAAUCCUAUAACAACACUUUAAUGAGUGGUUGCGCACUUCCUAUUUACUACCCUUAAAUUCGGAAAGACUUAUUUGCGGUAAAACCAGUCGAUUAGCAGUGCAGUCGACGGUUCUGUGCCUUCCCUCUCCAGUUGUCCACUUGAGUGUACCAGUCUAAAACCCCUUAAAAACCUUACUCUGGUUAAAAUUAUGCAUGCAUCAUGGUCAAACCUUGUCGGAUCAGUUAUGUUGUCAAUAUAAUGAUCCUUUAAGAUAAGCCUUAUCGAAAAGUCCAUUCGGUUUUCCAUAAUUCCAACGGACACAACCAUGUUCUGUGUAUUAAUUUGGAGAACUAAAUGCCGAUACGCUGAUUGUAAAUGUAUAAAUAGUCCAUUCUGGUGGGGGUAAGGCCUAACCCUUUUGUUUUGCAGAAAAUGAAGAACGAGGUCCCCAGCUUCGGUAUGGUUAGCACACCCUCUCUCUUACUAGACUGGUGGAGGAAUUUUCCAUCAAGUGACCAAAUAAAUGAAUGGGAAAGAGAAGGCUGUCAAAUCUAGCGAAAAACUGGAAUAUCUGGAAUACAAUAUGCUGGAAUUGGAAAGAAAAGUGAGGAAGAGAAUCAUCAAUUGCCAGAACACUAAGGGAAUUGAAGGACGACAUUUAGCAAAGGCGUUCUUAAUGAUGAACCUACGAGAACUGGAGGAUUUGAUCAACGAGAACAUUCCACCCGAUGAAGGUCCUUUGGAGACCAAAUAGAUUAGGUUUAAUCGCUUUCCAAAUGUAAUAAGGCCAAGUGCCAAUAGUGACCGAGUUUAAUAUUAUCUUAGUGUCAUUUUGGGAUUCGUCUAAUUUUAUAUUAUGAAAUGAAGCAUUAUUUGGCAUUUAAAGUUCUCCAAAUCUAUUUGUCGCUAGGCCUACCUCGGGCACAACGAGGUUCCCAAAAUAGGACACGAUUUUACAAUUUACAAUAUGUGUUUAAAUACUACAAACAUUUCAGAAUCCCCACUGACUUGUUACCUUUUUGUUUUUCUUUAUUUUUGAUUAUUCCCAUCCCCUUAGGUUGGUUCACUCAUACUAGCCUCAUCAGCAUAUCAUACCAAAUCCAGAAGCCCUCCACCUCCUAAUCCUCCAAGCAACACAAAAGGCAGAGGAAAAUCAAAGAUGGACGACUUAAGUGGAAUCCGAAAAGAGAAUAUGGAAAAUGUAGAGACUUCAGAUGGUCGUAGUACUCCGGCCCCAAUUGAUCUAGUUUUGAGACUAGAACAAAAGAUACUGGAAUUGCAAGGAGGACUUGAGCAGGUUCGUAACUUAGCAAAUUUGUCACUCACCCUCAGUGUCCCCAAUGUCCAUCAACAAAACACAAAUAACCUGACACCUCCUCAGAACACACAAAACCAGCAACCAAAAAAUCCUACCGCACCAAAUUAAUACGCAACCCCACCCCAAAAUAUCAAUCCGCUGUCAAUACCAACUCCACCACAACAUUACCAUCAACCAAUUCAGUACCGUCCAACCACCACUUACGACACUCCCCAAAACACACAACUCAUUCCCGAUCCAUAAAACUCCACUAAUGAUAAUCAUUACGCCCAAGUUCCUAAAACCCAUCAAAGCAACCCCAUAUAUGUGGAAAAUAUACCCCAUUCUAUCCAACCAAUCUCUUGUGCACCGGAAUCCUCCGAGAAGGACCUGAUCAUUAAAAACAUGGCUAAAGAACUCAAGAAGUUGACAAGCCGAGUUCAAGGUGUUGAAGGCGAUAGAGGAAUAGAGGGUUUGAAUUAUGAAGAUCUGAGAAUACAACCGGAUGUCGAACUGCCUGAGGGGUACAAACCUCCCAAGUUCAAAAUGUUCGAUAGUACAGGUGAUCCCAGGGUUCAUCUAAGGACCUAUUGUGACAAGCUUAUCGGGUUCGGGAAAGAUGAAAAGAUCCAGAUGAAACUCUUUAUGAGGAGCCUUACUGGGGACGCUUUAUCUUGGUAUAUCAACCAAAAUACCAAGAAAUGGUCCAAUUGGGUAAGCAUGUCGUCGAAUUUCAUGGACCGCUUCAGGUUUAACACAUAGAAUGCACCGGUCAAAAUCUUAAGAAGAAACCUAUUGAGACUUUUUGUGAGUACACUACUCGUUGGAGGUCGGAAGCAACCAAGGUCAGGCCCGCUUUGGAUGAAAAAUAGAUGAAUAAAUUCUUCGUUAGGGCAUAGGAUCCACAAUAUUAUGAGAGGUUGAUGGUUAUUGAAAACCACAAGUUCUCUGACAUAAUCAAAAUCGGAGAAAGGAUUGAGGAAGGAAUCAAGAGCGGGAUGGUAACGAAUUUUGAAGCACUACAAGUCACAAAUAAGGCUCUUCAAUUAGGUGGCAUAUCGAAGAAGAGAGAUGUUGGGGCAGUAAUGGUGGUUCAGGGCCCAAAAUCUCCACUUACCUAUCAAACACCUCCACCUCCAUAUCAAACACCUUCACCCACAUACCAAGCAUUAUUACCUACAUAUCAACCUUCAUCUCCCAGAUAUUCCCAACCAGUCACUGUCCAUCACACCUAUAACUCCCAACCAUCCCACUUCUUAUCACCACCAGCUCGCCAAAACUAUCCAAGACCAAGACCUAACUUCGACCGCAACCUACCCAGACAAUACACUGCUAUUGCUGAGCCUAUCGACCAAUUGUAUAAAAGGUUAAAAGCCGCAGGUUACGUCACUCAUGUUCCCGCUGUGGCAUUAGAAAAUCCAUCCCAAUGGGUCAAUCUGAACAAAACUUGUGCAUACCAUUCCGGUAUUAAAGGGCACACCACUGCUGAGUGCCGAACAUUGAAGAAUAAGAUCUAGACACUAAUUGACAACAAAGUCAUACAAGCAAAGAAAGUCGCACCUAAUGUCCGUAACAAUCCCCUCCCUGAUCACAGAGAUAAUGGGGUACAUGUGAUAGAAACAAAUGAAGAAUGGGAUCCUAAGGAAUCAAUCGGGCUUAUUCAAGAAGGCGACGCCUUUAAGGUUGCAAUCACACUUACUCCUAUUGUGGUUUAGACUCUAGCACCAAUUGAUGUUGAGAUAACUGUAUCAGUUCCAUUCGAGGUGGAAGUGGCUCCGCCCGCAGCCACCUCCACUCCAUUUGAACUAGAAGUGGUCAUACCUUUUACUGUGACAUUAUCAACCACACUCCCAUUCAGCUCAAAAGAAAUAUCCUGGGAUUAUUUUGCCGAGGCUCGGCGGAAAGGGAAAGCCAAGGUAGAGGAAUCUGACAUUGCACAAGGGUUGACUAGAACUGGGAGAGUCUAUACACCCCGAACACCUAGAGGUUCAAGUAAGGAGGCCACUACUAGGAAGCCUAUCAUUGAGACUGGGCCAGAUGACCUGUGGAGAAAAGUGUAGGCAAAAGAAUACUCUAUCGUUGACCAUCUGAACAAAGUCCCUGCGCAGAUAUCUAUUCUGUCACUAUUGCAAAAUUCAGAGGCACACAAGAAUGUUUUGAUGAAAGUACUGAGCAAGGCUUAUGUACACAAUAACAUCACUGGUGGAGAAAUGGCCAACAUGGUUGGGCAAGUGCUGGAGAGCCAUAAGAUUAUCUUCCACGAAGAUGAGCUACCGCCCGAGGGUUUGAAUCAUAAUUGAGCAUUGCAUAUCACAGUGCAAUUUGAAGACAAGUUCAUUGCCAUGGUCCUGGUUGAUGGGGGUUUGAGCCUAAAUAUUUGCCCAUUGGACACGCUGAAGAGGUUGGACAAAGGUUUCCACGAGAUACGGGUAGGAAGCAUGAAUGUGAAAGCUUUCGAUAGGUCCUAGAGGGCCACGAUCGGGGAAAUCAACCUUUGCUUGCAGAUGGGGCCGACUUGGUUCGACGUUGAAUUCCAAGUACUUGACACACCAGCCUCAUAUAAUCUUCUAUUGGGCCGACCAUGGAUCCAUGUUGCUGGAGCCAUGCCUUCCACACUACAUCAAGUCGUGAAUUUUAAAUGGAACUGCCAGGAGGUAAUCAUUCACAGAGAUGGAAGUAACCCCAUUUACACUAGUCAAACCAUCCCGGCCAUUAGACAUUGAAGAAGGCUAGGAGGGGAAACCUAUCAUCGCGUCUUACAGGUCAAUGCCGUUGAGAAGGACAAGUGGUGGAGUAAAAAAAUAGAAAGCAUACUAGCAUGGUCCGGAUAUGUAUCCGGCAAAGGUUUGGGAAAGAACCUCCAAGGCAUCACCAAACUAAUACAGCUGAAAAAUCAUGGUACCACUUUUGGGCUCGGAUACCAGUACAUAUGGAAAGAGUACAGGAAUUGGUCGCCUCUAUAACGUGGACCGUAUUACCCUUUUGAGCAGUCAGUGCUACAUUUGGAACAAGCUUUCCACCAGGCCAACACAAUAUGGGGGAUUGCAAAAGAAGAAGCACUAGUUGGGCUGAAGAAUUUAUUCUUGGAAGAUGAGGACAUGGACUGCGGUACCAUAAUUGAGAAGGGGGAGGAAGAAGGCUUCUCAGACUGCAGAAAAGGGAGCUGUUCUCAGAAACUGGACCGCUAUACUAUCCCGAGCCCACCGAAUCCCUGGGUAGCUUGGCAGAAUUUACUUCUAUAGCCGUUCUAGGCAUUUCAAAUUUCCUGCAGUUUCAUUUUAAUCUUUACUUGUUUCAAAAUAAAUGCUCGAUUCAUCGAGUCGUGCUUUGUCUGAACAAUCUUUUUCAAAGUUUUAAUCAAAUGCAUUUGCUCUUUAUUAUUCACUACUAUCGUUACAUUUUUUCUCUCCAUAACGUUAUUAUUACAUUUCCUGAUGAACCAGUGACUGUGACAUAUAAUGAGGCAACGCAACAUGAGAAUAGUGAUUCAGAGGAAAAAGAUGAGAUACCCGAGGAAAUCAUCAGGGAGGUUGAAAAUUUUGAAAAUAAGCCAAAGUACAAUCUAGACGAGAGCGAAGCAGUAAAUUUGGGAGACGCCAAUACUGUCAAGAAGACCCGCAUCAGCAUUCACUUGUCACUAACAGAAAAGGAAGAGUACAUUUGUUUCCUAAAAGAAUAUGAGGACAUUUUCGCAUCGUCAUAUGAUGACAUGACCGGUUUGAGCACUUCCAUAGUGGCUCACAAGUUACCUACUAAUCCCAUGUGUUCACCAGUAAAAUAGAAACUCAGAUAAUUCAAACCAGACAUGAGCUUGAAAAUCAAGGAAGAAGUUACCAAGUAGAUCAAAGCCAAAGUUCUCAGGGUGGUUGAGUACCCAACCUGGUUACCUAAUGCCACGACCCCGGUUUGCCCUCCGUAAACCAUCGUGACGACACCUAGUAUCUACGACUAGGUGAGCCUAAACUUGCGGAAGUAAAAUAAUUUAAAAACAGAAAUAAGGCAAUAACAAUGUUAAAUGUGCUGCUCGGCAUACACCAUAUUUAUAUAGAUCUCAAAACCAAUAUCUAAAUCCAAGACCCGGAAACCCACGAAUCACAAGCUAAGAAAAUGAAAUACUACGUAGCUCUAACUCCGGAAUUUGUGUAAUAAGAACAGAAAGUAUAGAAGGACUAAAUACUAAAAGGCAGGAAUAGAAAGGUACUCCUCGGUCUACGGACGCGGCAGAUGUGCCUCGAAGUCUCUAAGUAGUUGCCUCCCUCAAGGAUGGUAGGCCUGAGCAGAAGUACCUGGAUCUGCACAUGAAAAACAUGUGCAGAAGGGGCAUGAGUACACCACAGCGGUACUCAGUAAGUGUCAAGCCUAACCUCGGUCGGGUAGUGACGAGAAAGGUCAGGGCCCUACUAAGGUUAAAUACAAUAUAAGGGUUAACAAUGUGGAAUAAAACAGUAUACAUAAGUGCAAGAGCAAGAAAUAACAUAGAAUUGACAAAACUACAACAACUAGAAUAGAGACAAAACAAACCACGGAAAGAAAUACAGCUCAACACAAAGAUAACAAUCGGGACACCUUCUAGGAUACCAUCUUGUAGUCCCAAUUACAACUGUCCAGUGGAUCUCCCGGGAUACCAUCCCGUAGUCCAUCAUAUAUAUAUCCGAAGGAUCUCCUGGGAUCCCGUCCCGUAGUCCAACUAUCAAUGCGCAGGGAUCUACCGGAAUCCCGAUCCAUAGUCCCAAAUUUAAAUUCCCCGUACUGGGAGAAUCUACCAGGUGCAUUUCCGUAGUUCCAUAUAACUGUGCAGGGGGGUCUACCGGGAAUCUAACCCAUAGUCCCAAAGUGAAUGUGCAGGGGGAUCUACCAGGAAUCUAACCCGUAGUGCCAAAGUAAACAGAAAAGGGAGAGCUACCAGAAUCCCACAUCCGUAGUCCCAAAAUAAAUACGCAGCAGCAGUAGGAAGAUAUACAGAAAUGGCAAAAUUUCAUAUUAAGGCAAUAAGUGAUUCUAGCCUAGCAUGCUGCACAGAAUUCAAGUAAGGCAGGUUGAAUCAAAUAAAACAAUUAAGUCACUUAGACAUGCUUUCCUAAGCUAACAACAUGCUUAAUAGUGCAAGUAAUAGAAACAUGAAAGGAAACAUACUAGUAAUUACUUAAAGAAAACCGGAUUUCCAACAAUUAGCACAAGUACGCAGUUGUUACCUCGCGUACAAGGCAUGUUAAUUACCAAACAUACCAAUCCUAAGGGGAAGGUCCCCCCACAAGGUUAGACAAACCACUUACCUCGAACCAGCUCAAAAAUUAACCCAACACCACGUCUUUUCCACGAGUACUCGACUCCAAAUGGCCCAAAUCUAUUCAAUUUUCAAUUGCAUAAUGUAAAUAACACUUCAAGUAAAUGAUUCUACAAUUACAUUCUAAGCUAAUACGCAUAAUUAUGUAAAAUAACCAAAACGCCCCUCCGGCCCACGUCUCGGAAUCAGGUGAAAUUUACAUUUCAGAAACCUCGUACUCUCACGAGUCUAUACAUAACAAGAAAACUGAAAUCGAAGUUCAAAUGGCCCCUCAAAUUCUCAUUUAAAGGAAUCUUAAACUCAAGCCCUAAUUACCCAUUUUUUUCCAAAUUUCUCACCACUAAUUAGGUCUUUAAUCACAUAAAAACGAGUUAUGAAGUCAAGGAUGUUACCUCCAAGUGAUUCCCCUUUGUUUUCCUCAAAAAUCUCUCUUAAUAGCUUCAAACCGAAUAAAAAUGGUGAAAAGAUCCCUCAAAUUCGCGAUGGCAAUUAUUUAUAUGUUCUGCUCAGCGAUAUUCCGCCCAGCGAUUUUCCGCAUUUGCAACCCUAAGACCGCAUGUGCGGUCCCGCUUCUACGGAACAAGUGUCGCAUUUGCGACUUUCCCUUAAGGACCCAGCUUUCGCAUCUGUGAACAUCUCAACGCAUCUGCGGUUCUUGAGAGGAAAUCCCAAAUUUCGCUUUUGCGGUCCUCUUCGCCGCUUCUGGGGCUCCGCAUCUGCGGUCCGCAAACCGUAGAUGCGAAAAUUCCAGAAGAUUAGCUGCUGCAGCAACUUCAACUUCAAAAUUUCCUCUGUUAACCAUCCGAAUUCAUCCCGAGGCCCCCGGGACCUCACCCAGAUGCAUCAACAUAUCCUAAAACCUUAUUCAAAGUUGUAUAAAUCUUCAAAACACUUCAAACAACAUCAAAACAACCUAAACACAUCGUAUUCAAGCAUAAAUUUCUAAAAUCUUCUGAAUUCUGCUUUCGAUCAAAACCCAACCGGAAACUUCCAAAAUUCAGCUUUCGGCAUUUCAAGCCUAAAAUUGGCUACGGACCUCCAAAAGACAAUCCGACCACGUUCCUAACCCCAAAAUCACCAAACGGAGCUAACAGAACCAUCAGAUUUCCAUUCCGAGGCCGUCUUCACACUAUUCUGACUACGGGCAACUUUCUAACACUUAAGCUCUCAUUUAGGGACUAAGUGUCCCAAAACUCCCCGAAACUCAAAACCGAACAUCCCGGCAAAUCACAUUAGCAGAAAUAAACUUGGGGAAAGUAGUUAAUAAGGGAUCAGAGCGUAAAUUCUUAAGAAGACCGGCCGGUUCGUCACAUCCUCCUACACUUAAACAUUUGUUUAUCCUCGAACGAGCAUAGAGACAUACUUGAAGUAGUGAAAAGAUGAGGGUAACGACUGCGCAUAUCCUGCUUGGUCUCCCAGGUCGCCUCCUCGACCAAAUGAACCUGCCAUUAGACCUUCACUGAUGCAAUGUUCUUUAACCUCAGCUUUCUCACCUGUCUGUCAGAUAUUGCCACUGGGUCCUAAAUAAAAUAUAGAUCCUUGUCCAACUAGACUGAACUGAAAUCCAACACAUACGACAGAUCGUCGUGAUACCUCCGGAGCAACAAAACAUGAAAUACCGGAUGAACUCCUGCCAAGAUGGAGGUAAGUCAAGCUCAUAAGCAACCUCACUAACACGCCUCAAUAUCUCAAAAGGGCUAAAACUCGAACUCAACUUCCUUUUCUUCUCGAAUCUUAUAACGCCCUUCAUAGGCAAAACCCGAAGCAAAACCUGCUCUCCAACCAUAUAGGAAACAUCACGAACCUUCCGGUCCGCGUAAAUCUUCUGUUUGGACUGGGCUGUAUGGAGCCUAUCCUGAAUCACCUUAACCUUCUCCAAAGCAUCCUAAACUAGGUCCGCGCCCAAUAAUCUAGCCUCACCCAGCUCAAACCAACCCACCAGGGAUCUACACCGUCCCCAUAUAAAGCCUCAUACGAUGCCAUCUGAAUGCUGGACUGAUAGUCGUUGUUGUAAGCAAACUCUGCCAAUGGCAAAAAUUGAUCCAAAGACCCUCCAAACUUAAUCACACAUGGACGUAGCAUAUCCUCAAGAAUCUAGAUAGUGCGUUCGGACUGCUCGUCCGUCUGAGGGUAAAAUUCUGUACUCAACUCCACCCGAGUACCCAACUCAUGCUGAACGGCCCUCCAGAACCGUAAUGUAAACUAAGUACCCCUAUCUAAGAUGAUGGACACUGGAGUACCAUGCAAAUGAACAAUCUACCAGAUAUAAAUCUCUGCCAACCGCUACGAAGAAUAAGUAGUGCACACAGGAAUAAAAUGAGCGGACUUGGUCAGCCGAUCCACAAUCACCCAAAUAGCAUCAAACUUUCUCAAAUUCUGUGGGAGCCCAACUGCAAAGUCCAUGGUGAUCCGCUCCCACUUCCAUUCUAGAAUCUCUAUCUGCUGGAGAAACCCAUUCGGUCUCUGGUGCUCAUACUUCACCUGCUAACAGUUGAGGCACCGAGCUACAAAUUCAACUAUAUCCUUCUUCAUCCGCCUCCACUAGUAAUGCUGCCUCAAAUCUUGAUACAUCUUCACGGCACCUGGAUGAAUGGAAUAUCGUGAGCUAUGGGCCUCCUCCAGAAUCAACUGCCGAAGACCCUCAACAUUGGGUACACAAAUCUGACCAUGCAUCCUCAAUACCUCAUCAUCACCAAUAGUCACAUCUCUAGCAUCAUCGUGCUGGACAUUGUCCUUGAGGACAAGCAAAUGAGGGUCAUCAUACUGCCGCUCCCUGAUACAAUCAAAUAACGAAGACCGAGAAACCAUGCAAGCUAGAACCCGACAGGGCUCCGAAAGAUCCAAUCUCGCAAACUAGCUGGAUAAGUCCUGAACAUCCAUUGACAUAGGCUUCUUCGAUGCUUGUAAAUAAGCCAAACUCUCUGCCCGGCGACUCAAAGCAUCGGCCACCAUAUUGGCCUUUCCCGGGUGAUACAAAAUAGUGAUACCAUAGUCCUUUAGCAACUCCAACCACCUUCUUUGGCACAAAUUUAGAUUCUUUUGCUUGAACAAGUGCUGCAAGCUCCGAUGGUCAGUAUAAAUCUCACAGGGAACACCGUAUAAGUAAUGGCGCCAAAUCUUCAGGGCGUGAACAAUGGCAGCUAACUCAAGGUCGUGAACAGGGUAGUUCUUCUCAUGUAUCUUCAACUGUCUGGAUACGUAGGCAAUCACCCUACCAUCCUACAUCAACACCGCUCCGAGGCCAACCCUCUACGCAUCACAAUAGACCGUAUAAGACCCCGAACCUGUAGGCAGUAUCAAAAUUGGGGUUGUGGUCAAAGUUGUCUUGAGCUUCUGAAAGCUCGCCUCACACUCCUCUGUCCACUGAAAUGGAGCAACCUUCUAGGUCAACUUGGUCAUAGGGGUUGCAAUCGAUGAAAACCCAUCCACAAAACGACGGUAGUAGCCAGCCAAAUCAAGGAAAUUGUGGAUCUCGAUAGCUGAGGAUGGUCUGAGCCAACUCUGCAUGGCCUCUAUCUUCUUCGCAUCCACCUGAAUACCCUCACUCGAUACCACAUAGCCUAAAAUGCCAAUGAAUCCAACCAAAACUCACAUUUCGAGAAUUUAGCAUAUAACUUCGUCUUUCUCAAAGUCUGAAGCACAGUCCUCAGGUGCUGCUCAUGACCUUCCCGACUCCGGGAAUACACCAGAAUAUCAUCAAUAAAGACAAUGACGAACGCAUCAUGAUAUGGCCGGAACACACUGUGCAUCAAACGCAUAAAGGCUGCUAGGGCAUUGAUCAGCCCAAAUUACAUAACAAGGAACUCUUAAUGACCAUACCGAGUCCUGAAAGUAGUCUUCAGGAUAUCUGGCUCCUGAAUCUUCAACUGAUGGUAACCUGAGCGCAAAUCAAUCUUAGAAAACACCCGUGUGCCCUGAACCUGGUCAAACAAAUCAUCAAUACGAGGCAAAGGAUAACGGUUCUUCAUUAUAACCUUGUUCAACUGGCGAUAAUCAAUGCAUAUACGCAUGGAACCAUCCUUUUUCUUCACAAACAAGACAGGAGCACCGCAAGAUGAUACACUAUGCUGUAUAAAACCCUUAUCAAGCAAUUCCUGUAACUAAUCCUUCAACUGAGGAGGAGCCAUACGAUACGGAGGAAUAGAAAUGGGCAGAGUGCCCAGCAACAAAUCAAUGCCAAAAUCAAUAUCUCUAUCAAGCGGCAUCCCUGGAAGAUCAGCUGGAAAAACAUCAGGAAAAUCCCGAACUACUAGAACUGAAUCAACUGAAGGGGUAUCAAUACUGACAUCUCUCACAUAAGCUAAAUACACAUCACACCCCUUCUCAACCAUACGCUGAGCUUUAAGAAGAGAAAUAACUCUACUAGGAGUGUGAUCUAAAGUACCCCUCUAUUAAACAUGCGGUACACCUGGCAUAGCCAAAAUCACAGUUUUGGCGUGACAAUCAAGAAUAGCAUAAUGGGGCUACAACCAGUCCAUGCCCAAGAUAAUAUCAAAAUCAACCAUGCUGAGUAAUAAUAGAUCGGCUCUGGUCUCAAAUCCACUAAGAGCAACCAAACACGGCCGAAAAAUGCGGUCCACAACAAGAGAAUCUCCCAUAUGAGUAGAAACAUAAAUAGUAGAACUCAAGGAAUCCCGAGGUACACCCAAAUGCGGAGCAAAAUAAGAAGACACAUAAGAGUAAGUAGAUCUUGGAUCGAAUAGAACUGAUGCAUCUUUGUGAAAAACCAGUAUAAUACCUGUGAUGACAGAAUCAGAGGCAACAACCUCGGUACGGGAAAAAGGGCAUAGUAUCUGUCCUGGCCUCCCCCUCUAGGGUGACCUCUACCUCCCCAACCUCCACCUCUAGCUAGCUGAACAGGUAGGGUAGCAACUGGCGCUGUAACCAUAGCCUGAGAACUCUGUGUGGUAUGCUGUGGCUGAGAAGUCUUUGGAGGUGCACCCCUCCCAAGUCGGGAGCAAUCCGUUACCAUAAGGCAUAUGUCACCACACUCUAAACAAGAUAUAGGAGGAUGUGGUGGCUGUGACAGGCUCGGUCCAGGUCUGCUGGACUGACCUCUGAAAGCACCCCGCGCAAGAGACACGCUAGAUACCGGCGGUGCAUAAUAAGGCUCCUGUGGUCUAGGAAGAGCUGAAGCACUACUGACUGUGGGAAGAGAUGAAUGAACAUGGUGACUCAUGUAACCUCUACCAUGACGACCUGCAGCUGGCGUGCGGGCAGCAGAAUAAUGGCUCGACUCUCAUGACAUUUUGGCCUCCCUCUCCUCUCUCUCUCUAGCAUGCAUACUCUCGAUCCUCCUAGCAAUGCUCACCACCUACUAAUAAGAAAUAUCCAUCUCCAACUCACGAGCCAUGCUAUAUUUGAUACUGGGAAUAAGGCCAUCAAUAAACCGGCAAACCCUCUCGCGGACAGUAGAAACCAUGGCUGGCGCAUGCCUAGGUAAACUGGUGUAACGGACAGCAUACAUUGAGACAGUCAUAGCGCCCUGGCGCAAAUGCUCAAACUUUUCUUAGGAACAUAUCUGAAAAUUGAGUCCAAGUCAGUGAAGCAGCCUCAUCUGGACUAUCUAGCUCAUAGGUGCGCCACCACUCAAAGGCGACUCCUCGAAACUGGAAGGUAGUGAAAGAAACCCCACUCGAUCCUGAGAUACCCAUGGUAUGGAGAAUGCAGUAACACUCAUCAAGAAAUUCCAGAGCAUCCUCUGACGCUAGACCACUAAAUACAGGGGGUUUGUACUUCUUGAACCUCUCAAUCCUCAACUACUCAUCCUCGGAAGCCACUGCCUUGUCCUAGGGCUGAACUGGCACUGCAGGCGGCACAGGAAUAAUCUCAGGGACCUGUUCAACAUGCACUCGCUGCUCAAAAGUGCGGGCGGCGGGAGUCUUUGCUCCUCCCUCGGCCUAAGACUAGCUACAGCAAGGGGAAGAAACCCUGCCUGAGUCAAGGUGGUGUACAUGCUCAUGAACUAUGCCAAAGUCUCCUGUAAAGCUGGAGUGGUAGUAGCAGUAGGCAUGUCAAAUGCCUGGACUCUGACAACAACCGCUGGUGGUACCUCAGCGGCAACUCGCGUAGGUGCUCUGGCUGCACCAUGUGCGCAUCCUCGGCCUCUACCCCUGCCCCGGCCUCUGACGGCUGCAGUAGGGGGCGCGGGUGCCUAAUCAUCUCGAGUAGCACGAGUCCUCACCAUCUGUGAGAGAAUAGAAGAUAGAAGUUUAGAAUUAUGAAAUCAAAAUAUCGCAUGACAAGGAAAUCAAAUGAAGUGGAAAUUUUUCUAACAGUUACAUAUCCUCUCGUAGAUAAGUACAAACGUCUCCGUACCGAUCAGCAAGACUCUAAUAAACUGGCUUGUGAUCUGUGACUCCUAUGAACCUAGAGCUCUAAUACCAACUUUUCACGACCCCGGUUCGCCCUCCGUGACCAUCGUGAUGGCACCUAGUCUCUACGACUACGUAAGCCUAAACUUGCAGAAGAUAACCAAAACUUGCGGAAGUAAAACAAUUUAAGAACAGAAAUAAGGCAAUAAUAGUGUUAAAUGUGCUGCCCAGCAUACACCAUAUUUAUAUAGAUCUCAAAACCAAUAUCUAAAUCCAAGACCCGGAAACCCAUGAAUCACAAGCUAAGAAAAUGAAAUACUACAUAGCUCUAACUCUAGAAUUUGUCUAAUAAGAACAGAAAGUAUAGAAGGGCUAAAUACUAAAAGGCAUGAAUAGAAAAGGACUCCUCAGUUUGCUUACGCGGUAGAUGUACCUCAAAGUCUCUAAGUAGUCGCCUCCCUCAAGGAUGGUAGGCCUGAGCAGAAGUACCUAGAUCUGCACAUGAAAAACAUGCACAGAAGGGGCAUGAGUACACCACAGCGGUACUCAGUAAGUGCCAAGCCUGACCUUGAUCGGGUAGUGACGAGGAAGGUCAGGGCCCUACUGAGGUUAAAUACAAUAUAAGGGUUAACAGUGUGGAAUAAACAGUAUAGAUAAGUGCAACAGCAAGAAAUAACAUAGAAUUGACAGAACUACAACAACUAGAACAGAGACAAAACAAACCACGGAAAGAAAUACAACUCAACACAAAGAUAACAAUUGGGGCACCUUCCAAGAUACCGUCUUGUAGUCCCAAUUACAACUGUCCAGUGGAUAUCAUGGGAUACCGUCCUGUAGUCCAUCAUAUAUAUGUCCGAAGGAUCUCCCGGGAUUUCGUCCCCUAGUCCAACUAUCAAUGCGCCGGGAUCUACCGGAAUCCCGAUCCGUAGUCCCAAAUGUAAAUACCCGGUACUGGGGGAAUCUACCGGGUGAAUUCCAGUAGUUCCAUAUAGCUGUGCAGGGGGAUCUACUGGAAAUCUAACCCGUAGUCCCAAUGUAAACAGACAAGGGGGAGCUACCGGAAUCCCACAUCCGUAGACCCAAGAUAAAUAUGCAACAGCAGUAGGAAGAUAUACAGAAAUGGCGAAAAUUCAUAUUAAGGCAAUAAGUGAUUCUAGCCUAGCAUGCUGCACAGAAUUCAAGUAAGGCAGGUUGAAUCAAAUAAAACAAUUAAGUCACUUAGAUAUGUUUUUCUAAGCUAACAACAGGCUGAAUAGUGCAAGUAAUAGAUAUAGGAAAGGAAACAUACUAGUAAUUACUUUAAGAAAACUAGAUUUCCAACAAUUAGCAUAAGUACGCACUCGUCACCUCACGUACAAGGCAUUUCAAUAACCAAACAUACCAAUCCUAAGGGGAAGGUCCUCCACUCAAGGUUAGACAAGCCACUUACGUCGAACCGACUAAAAAAUCAACCAACACCACGUCUUUACCACGAAUACCCGACUCCAAAUGGCCCAAAUUUAUUAAAUUCAAUUGCAUAAUGUAAAUAACACUUUACGUAACUGAUUCUACAAUUAAAUUCUAAGCUAAUACUCGAAAUUAUGUAAAAUGACCACAAUGCCCCUCGGGCCCACGUCUUCGAAUCGGGUGAAAUUUACAUUUGUAGAAACCUUGUAUUCUCACGAGUCUAUACAUAACAAGUUAUGAAGUCAAGGAUGUUACCUCCAAGUAAUUCCCCUUUGUUUUCCUUACAAAUCUCUCUUAAAAGCUUCAAACCCGGAUGAAAAUGGUGAAAGGAUCCCUCAAAUUCGCGAACGCAACUAUUUAUAUGUUCUGCCCAUCGAUUUUCCGCAUUUGCGGCCCUGGAACCGCAUCUGCGGUCCCGCUUCUGUGGAACAAGUGUCGCAUCUACGACUUUCACAUAAGGACCCAGCUUUCGCAUCUGCGGAACUCUAACCGCAGGAGCGGUUCCGCUUCCGCCGACAUCUCACCGCAUCUACGGUUCCUGUAGGAAAUCCUAAAUUUCGCUUCUGCGGUCCUCGUCGCUGCUUCUGCGCCACCGCAUUUGCGGUCCCCAAACCGCAGAUGCGAUAAUACCAGAAGAACAACUGCUGCAACAGCUUCAACUUCCAAAUUUCCUCUAUUAACCAUCCGAAUUCAUCCCGAGGCCCUCGGGACCUCAACCAAAGGCAUCAACAUAUCCUAAAACCUUAUUCAAACUUGUACAAAUCUUCAAAACACUUCAAACAACCAAAACACAUCGGAUUCAAGCCUAAGUUUCUAAAAUCUUCCGAAUUCUGCUUUCGAUCAAAACCCAACCAAAACACGUUCGAAUGACAUAAAAUUUUGCACACACAUCCCAAAUGAUAUAACGAAACUACUAAAACUAUCGGAAUUCCAUUCUGACCCUCGGAUCAAAAUCUUACUAUCUAACCGGAAACUUCCAAAAUUCAACUUUCGGCAUUUCAAGCCUAAAUUAGCUACGGACCUCCAAAACACAAUCCGAACACUCUCCUAACCCCAAAAUCACCCAACGGAGCUAACGGAACCAUCAAAUAUCUAUUCCGAGACCGUCUUCACACUGUUCCGACUAAGGUCAACUUUCUAACACUUAAGCUCUCAUUUAGGGACUAAGUGUCCCAAAACUCCCCGAAACUCAAUACCGAACGUCCCGGCAAAUCACAUUAACAAAAAUAAACUUGGGGAAAAUAGUUAAUAGGGGAUCGGGGCAUAAAUUCUUAAGACGACCGGCCGGGUCAUCACAGCUAACAUUGUGCCAGUUCUGAAGAAGGAUGGGAAGGUCAGAGUAUGUGUUAAAUAUCAGGAUUUAAACAGAGCAAGUCCCAAAGAUGAUUUUCCACUGCCAAAUAUACACAUCAUGAUCGAUAACCGCGCCGAGCAUGAACUUCAAUCCUUUGUAGAUAGCUUCGCGGGUUAUCACCAUAUUUGGAUGGAUGAAGAAGAUGGAGAGAAUACAACUUUUAUUACACCAUGGGGUGUAUAUUGUUACAAGAUGAUGUUAUUCGGUUUGAAGAAUGAUGGGGCCACCUACAUGAGAGCCAUGACAACCAUCUUCCAUGAUAUGAUACACAAGAAAAUAGAGGUGUAUGUAGACGAUGAUCGCAGAUCACAUAGCAGACUUGAGGAAGUUCUUCGACAGGCUAAGAAGGCACAAUUUGAAAUUUAACCCCGCAAAGUGUGCAUUCGGGGUUCCCACAGGGAAGUUACUGGGAUUCAUUGUCAGUCAUCGAGGGAUCAAAGUGGAUCCGUCUAAAGUCAAAGCUAUUCAGGAGUUACCACCACCUAAGAGCAAAAAGGAUAUGAUGGGCUUCCUAGGACGUCUCAACUAUAUCAGUCGCUUCAUAGCACAAUCCACAUUCAUAUGUGAACCCAUCUUCAAGAUGCUAAGAAAGGAUGCUGAAACAAGCUAGACCGAGGAUUGCCAAAAAGCUUUUGACAAGAUCAAGGAGUACAUGUCCAUACCACCAGUCCUGGUCCCGCCAGAACGAGGAUGACCUUUGCUACUUUAUCUAUCUAUAUUGGAUACAACCUUCGAAUAUGUUUUGGGACAACAUGAUGAGAUAGGAAGAAAGGAGCAAGCCAUAUAUUACUUGAGUAAGAAGUUCACACCUUAUAAAGCACGGUAUUCUCUGCUUGAACACACUUGCUAUGCUCUGACCAGGACAGCCCAAAAAUUGAGGCAUUACUUCUGUGCCUACACUACAUACCUCAGAUCCAGGAUGGAUCCUCUAAAGUACAUAUUUCAAAAACCCAUGUCUACUAGGAAGUUGGCUAAAUGGCAGAUACUGCUAAGUGAGUUCGAUAUCGUCUAUAUAACUCAAAAGGCGGUCAAGGGACAAGCAUUGACAGAUCAUCUUGCUGAGAAUCCGGUAAGAGGAGCAUACGAGCCUUUGAAAACAUAUUUUCCUGAUGAAGAAGUGUAGUUCGUAGAAGAAGACGUUAUCGAAGCAUACGAUGGUUGGAGGAUGUUCUUUGAUGGAGUUGCAAAUUUAAAAGGAGUGGGCAUUAGAGCAGUCUUGAUAUCAGAAGCAGGUCAACAUUAUUCGGUAUCUUCCAAACUAAGAUUUCCUUGCACCAACAACAUGGUAGAAUAUGAAGCCUGCAUACUAGGUCUCAACAUGGCAGUCGACAUGAACAUCCAGGAGUUGCUGGUAAUCGGUUAUUUAGAUUUUCUUGUGCACCAGGUACAAGAAGAAUGGGCCACCAAGAAUUCCAAGAUAUUGCCAUAUCUGCACCAUGCGCAGGAAUUGAUAAAGAGGCUUACAAAGAUAGAAUUCUGACAUAUGCGUAGAAUUCAGAAUGAGUUUGCCGACGCAUUGGCCAUUUUGUCAUCCAUGAUACAACAUCCAGAUAAGAACUACAUUGAUCCCAUUCCGGUGAGGAUCCAUAAUCAGCCGGCAUAUUGUGCUCAUUCUGGUGAGGAUCCAUAAGAACUACAUUGAUCCCAUUCCGGUGAGGAUCCAUAAUCAGCUGGCAUAUUGUGCUCAUUCUGAGGAAGAAGCAGAUGGAAAGCGUUGGUUCCAUGACAUCAAGGAGUACUUAUCGAAAGGAGAAUACCCGGAGCAUGCAAAUCACAUACUGAAACGCACACUCCAUAGAUUGUCAAACCACUUCUUCAACAGCGGAGGAAACUUGUACAGAAGAACUCCUGAUUUGGGUUUAGUAAGAUGUGUCGACGCAAAGGAAGCUUCUAAGCUACUUGAGGAUGUGCAUGUUGGGACCUGUGGUCCACACAUGAAUGGUUUCGUCUUGGCUAAGAAGAUACUCAGAGCAGGUUACUUUUGGAUGACCAUGGAGACAGAUUGCAUUCAGUAUGUCCGCAAAUUCUUUCAAUGUCAAGUGCAUGCCGACAUGAUAAAAGUGCCGCUAAAUGAGCUCAAUGCAACAAGCUCACCUUAGCCAUUCACCACCUGGGGAAUGGAUGUUAUUGGUCCUAUUGAGCCCACAACUUCAAACAGACACGGGUUUAUUCUGGUAGCAAUUGAUUACUUCACAAAAUGGGUAGAGGCUGCAUCUUAAAAAGCUGUGACAAAGUAAUUCGUCGCAGAUUUUGUCAAGGAUCGUAUUGUCUGCCAAUUUGGAGAUCCCGAGUCCAUUAUUACUAAUAACGCCGCCAAACUCAAUAGUGAUCUGAUGAAAGCUAUGUGUGAAACUUUCAAAAUAAAGCACAAGAAUUCAAUAGCCUAUUGACCUUAGAUGAAUGGAGCCGUAGAAGCUACCAACAGAAACAUCAAGAAGAUACUAAAGAAAAUGGUAGAGAACUAUAAACAAUGGUACGAAAAGUUACCCUUUGCUCUAUUGGGGUACUGCACCACGGUUCGCACAUCAACCGGAGCAACUCCCUACAUGUUGGUUUAUGGUACACAGGUUGUCAUCCCAGUCGAGGUGUAGAUUCCUUCUUUAAGAGUCAUACAAGAAGCUAACCUCAGCGAUGCGGAGUGGAUAAGGAGUUGCUAUGAACAAUUGGCCCUUAUCAAUGGAAAGAGGAGGAACACAGUGUGUCACGGCCAACUUUAUUAGAACAGAAUGUUUAGAGGUUUCAACAAAAGAGUCAAACCAAGACAGUUUGCACAAGGGCAGCUGGUAUUGAAUAAAAUCUUCCCACAUCAAGAUGAGGCCAAAGGAAAAUUCUCUCCCAACUGGCAAGGUCCAUACAUGGUUCACAGAGUACUAAAAGGAGGAGCACUCAUACUUGCAGAAAUAGACGGUGAAGUCUGGCCAAAGUCGAUCAAUUCAGACACAGUCAAGAGAUACUAUGCUUAGAUACUUUACAUUUCCUCAUUUGAUGUAAUUGAACUACGCUUUACCUGAUUUCCGUUUAAGAGGGGAUACGUAGGCAGCCUUAUGGGUUCGGUCAUAUCAUAAUAAAAUUUUCAUUUCCCCCGAGAGCGGAAACUGGGGAAGAAUUUUGAGGAGGACCCUCAAAAUUCCGGAGCAAGUCCAGUCAACACCAACAUGUGUCAGACGAUCAGCAAUUAGUUAAGAAACAGGGGCAGAAUUUUGAGAAGGUUUCUCAAAAUUCUGAAGAAGGAUCAACAAAAUCCAUUAUCCGUAAACAGCUGAAGGAUCAUCUACUAAACUGGAGCAGAAUUUUGAAGAGGGCCCUCAAAAUUCCCACAUAAGAGAGUUGCAAUGUCUUUGAGAUGUGUUACAGUCACUAGUUCAUCUAUUUUUUCUGAAAUAACUCUAUUUUUAUCAACAAUUGCAUAUUUUUCAAAAAACUCUAUUUCCAUAACAGUCAGGUGUUACCUAGGGAACUGGAAAAGGGCUUUUAGAACGAAGCAUAGCAAGGCCAGCGGACGAAGCACGAACCAACCUCCCCUCACAAAACUUACAAUUAUUCUUUGAAUGCAGGCAUAUUUGACGUAACAGUAGCAUUCGCAAAGCAUGUAUACACAAAGAUAAUUCACUAUCAAUUAGGCGAUCAGACAUCGAAUACAUCUCCAGCUAAGACAUAUGCUACUUUUACUUACUAUUUGCUCUCUGCAUGAGGCUAAUCCUUGACUCCAUAUUUGCAUGAGGCUAAUCCCUGCCUCCAUACUUUCUUGAGGCUAAUCCUUGCCUCCAUACCUGCAUGAGUCUAAUCCUUGACUCCCUAUCUGCAUGAGGCUAAUCCUUGCCUCCAUACUUGCAUGAGGCUAAUCCUUGCCUCCAUAUUUGCAUAAGUCUAAUCCUUGACUCUAUAUUUGCAUGAAGCUAAUCCUUGCCUCCAUAUUUGCAUGAGGCUAAUCCCUACCUCAACAUUUGCAUGAGGCUAAUCCCUGCCUCCACAUUUGCAUGAGGCUAAUCCCUGUCUCCAUACUUGCAUGAGACUAAUCCCUGCCUUCAUAUUUGCAUGAGUCUAAUCCUUGAUUCCCUAUCUGCAUGAGGCUAAUCCUUGCCUCCCUAAUUGCAUAAGUCUAAUCCUUGACUCCAUACUUGCAUGAGGCUAAUCCUUGCCUCCAUACCUGCAUGAGGCUAAUCCCUUCCUCCCUACUUGCACGAGACUAACAUUGUCCAUCUUUGCAUAGAUAUUGCUCUAUUUUACUAGCUAUUUGCUUUCCAAUUCACAAAACUAAUCAUUGUCUUGAUGACAUCAUGACUAUUGCAUAUCAUGGGCUGAAAUAUCGCCAACCUAUCCAAAGGCGUCAUAGUAUAAAAGGCAUCAUCCUUAUAGCCGAAAGAUACCAUGCCAUGGCCUAAGGAUCUCUCAAAUUUGCAUAUCAUUAUUCGAAAGCGUCAUGGUUCGUAGGCACCAUCUUCAUGGCCCGAGAAAAUAAUUUCAUGGCACGUGAAUCCCUCACUAAAUAAUUCAUGGUCCAGGACGUCAUGGUCUGAGGACGUCAUCUUUAACCGUCCGAAGACAACCUUCAUGGUCCAAAGGGAAUUUGCAUCAUGUUUAAAUUUUUCGCAAGUGCAAGUUAUAACAUCUUUUAUCUGCAGGUAACGGGCAAGCAACCGCCAUCCUAGCAGGAGCGAUCUUGCUCAAGUUCCCUCCAACCGUCGCGAACUUUAACUGCUCAGCAUAGCCACUUCGGCAUCGCAUGUCCGUUCUUGUAAUAAUUUCAUCGGCAUAUUCCACAGAUGAACUCAAAACUAAACAUGGCCUGAUUCUUGUAAAACCAGGGAUAUGUAGGCAGUUUGACGACCAGAGUCUGGCCUCUAUCUUUCAAAGCAUCUCGUCCGGUCAAAAUUGGCCAUCAUUUCUUUACCAAAAAACUCUUUCAUCCUUCCCAGGGAAAGAGGGGUAGUUGUUGAUACCCAAUUUUUCCUUAUAUAUUUUUAAUAUGCAUAAAUACCUUCAAAAUAGCAUAUAUAAGCAUGCACAAGAUUUUUAUAAUUUUUCCCAUAAUUUUAAGGAUUUAAAUUGAUUUAUUUUCUUCCCUUUUAUUCAUAAAAUCCCCAAUAAUUAUUCCUCAAAUUAUUGUUGUGGUGAUUUAGUCAUUUAAUUUCUAUAUUUAUGUGAAAGUAGGGUUAAAAUAUUUUUUAUGCAUUUUAUAAUUGCAUUUUGUAUUUUUAAAGCCAAAUUGCAUAUAAUUGCAACAUUAGCUCCAUUAAUAUAUAAAUAUAUUUCUAUGCGUAAAAUUGAUCUUCUAUAUAUUUAAAAUAUUAAAUAUCUAUUUUAUAUCAUUUUAGUACAUGAAAUUAUGUUUUAGAAAUUAUUUAUCAUUAAUUAUAAAUUAUAUAGGGAAAAUUGGUUAUUUAAAAUAUAGCCAGAUUUGCAUUUCAAUUGUAGCCCAAUUUAAACCCAAACCCAGCCCAAUUUCAGAUUAAAAAUACCCAACCCAAGCCCUGAACCCACCUACCUGACCCAAAGCCAUAUUAAAUCUUGGCCGUUGAUCUAAAAGAUCAAUGGCCCUCGUCUGUUCUUACCAUUUUUAAUUCCAACGACCCCUAACCCUUGCUCAUUAUUCAGAUACUGCCGCCUCUGUAUUCUCUCAUAUCCUCUCUUCUCUCAACCACUCAACCUAACCCUAGCUCCUUCAACUGUCAACCUUCUUCUGCGGUCUUCUCCGGUGAUCUCCCUUCAACUCCUAAGCCUUCAAUGGCUCCUCUAAUACUAUGCUUGCCUUCUCUAAGGUCUUCAAGGGCCCUGGACCAUGCCGACUUGCAUAUAAGGUUUUCUAUUUGUCUGUUCUUGGCUACUUCAGUGUGAUUUCAAGCAAAAUCAUGAUAUAUUUGUUACGAUUCUUGGGAUUCUAGACAUGUUCUUUCAUCUCUAUUUGGGUUUCUUCUGAAACCCUAAUUUCUGCGUACAACUUCUAGAUCUGUACAAUUUUAAAAUGAUUUGAGUUUGCCUCUUUAGUAUUUUUAAUUGAUUCCCUUAACUUAAGGUAGUACUUGUCCUGAUUUUGCUCUAAUUGGUUCUGAGUUCCAUAAUCGUUAUGCUACUAUGAUUCUUGCCUUAUUUUACCUAAUUUUCAAACUACUAUAUAUACACACUCUCUCAUUAAUACAAACACAUGAACACUUUGGUUCAAAAGCUCUUUCUCUCACACUUAAACUUUCUGCUCUCUCUCUCUUUUGUGCUACUUGCUACUAUUCCGAGUUAACCGGCUGCAAGCCAAAGCUAACUAUUGUGCUCUCCUACUCUUUCACUCUUGCUUAUUGUCUUCCUUACUGGUAUGUUCUAAUUUCAGUUCAUGUUCCAAAAACAAUAUGGUUCUUUUAUUACUUUAGUUCAUCAUGUUUCUAGUUUGCUUUUACUUAUGGUUUUGUUAUGAAACAUGUAGUUAAUAUGAUUACCUGAUUAGCAUGUCAUGUACUCCCCUUCUUUAUGAUUAGUGUAAACAUGUUACCCACUCUCUGUCUAAUCAAUUGUUUCCGAGCAUGUCUGUACCAAUUACCUCUGCCUGUUAUGUGUUUACCAUCAUGUGUUCCAUGUAUCCUCAAUCUCUAUCACCCCUGUAUGUACGUUUGUUCCUUUUGUUUGGUUCUGUUCUCUUUAAGUAUUGAUGAUGUGGUUUUGGACUUCAUGUUUGAUUUACUACUGUCUAAUCAUGCAACUCUCUUUUCAAAAAUGGAUUACUGCACGACUCCCUUUUUUACUCCGCAAACUAUUUCAAAAAAAACCUCCUCUUUAUAAUGUUUUCCUGUAGUAACCUUUCAACUUGUGUCAAGCACUUUUACUCUACUCCUAAGUCAAUAAGUUCUGCCCCCUCCAGUAUGUGUACUGCCUUGGGAUCCUCUUGAGAACCCUCUUAACUCUGGCAUACUGAGGUUGGCCCUUCCACACUGCACUUAAAUUUGGUUACCAAGUCUAGGUGUAAGUACUGUCCGGGAUCCUUGAGAUCCUUAGGGAACUUUGAUGCACCCAGAUUAUGACAUUGUCUAUGGAAUUAAGACAUUUGAGGCUAUUGGAGGUUUGGAAACCUAGGCAUAUCUGUAGGCUCCAUAUACAAUAACUUCUUAUUUUCUUAUUUACUUAUGUAAUUCAUUCAUAUGGUCUGUAAUAACUUGUAAACGAAUAUUGGGGUAAUUAGUGAAAAGGGUGGGUAGCUACAUGUUUGUGGGGUAAUAUGGGUAGAAAACAUGCAUAUAGGACUUUUACAUCUUGUCAUGUUUGUCUUACCAUGUUAGAAAUCAUGCUUAUAGGUUUCAAGUGAUUCCAUAAUAGAAAUCAUGUUUAUAAGGCUUAAAAUCAGCUUCACAAGUAGAUGUCAUGCCUAUAGGAUAUAAUCCAAAUCCGACUUCUGCUAUAACAAGUGUUUAUUUGUGUUUUCGUUUGUCAUAAUGCCUGCAAGUCUUUAAAAUCUGUAUUAAACAAGUAGAUAUCAUGCAUAUAAGGAAUAACACCAGAAAUUCUGCUUAUAGAUAUAAACUAGUUUGGUUUUAAAUAAAUUAAUCCGAUUAACGAUUAGCUCACUUCUAAACUGGUUUAAUUAAUGGUCUAUUUUCCUGAAGCGAGUUCUUUCAAAAAUUGCCUCAGUUUAUCAUGAGACAGCAUGUCUAUAGGGAUUAAAGAGUCCGUUUCAAAACCUGCCUUAUUUCACUAUAUAAAAUGUAGUCAUCAGUAUUCCGUGUAUAGGCAAGCCCGUAGGGCGUUUUCAAAACUUGCAAUUCUAAAACUAUUUUUGUCACUUAAUGUUGUUCUGGUUUAAACAAGCUUUAAAAUCAGUAGGCAAGUGAUAGGGUCAUUACUUCUGAGUUUAUAAAACAAACUGCCUAUUUUCUGUACAUUCACUUAGACAUCAUGCCUUAGGAUACUGUUUAACAAAAAGGCCUUUAUUUGUGUUUGAGUCGUGCUGUUUACAUGGCUUUUCUGUGGAGGUAAAUUGAGCCUCUUAUUUGCUCCUUCCUGUUCUUGUUUGAUAAGAGUCUUAUGUGUUAUUGCUUGUCGCCUUAGUAUUUUCACCUUUAAAACCUUAGGGGUCUGUCUAGAACCACCUAUAGGUAGAGGUCCUAAAUCCCUCCAGGACCAUUAAGAAGGGACAGGUGAGAGCACACAAUAGAGAUUGCUGACCAAACACUUGCUUUAAAUGACCACUAAGGGGAUGAGAAUGGUAGAUAUGGGAUAUGAUGGCUAUGUGCUAAUGUCACGUGUAGCCCCUCAUUGAGAAGUGUUUACCGAACAUUGUGUGCGGUGAUCCUAUAGGCUAACCAACCUAGGACUUUCCCUUUUCCGAAAUUCCUUUUGUUUAAGACUUUGUUUUAUACAACUUGUCCAAAAACUUCUGUCUUAUUAUUUGAGUUAUACAAACUUGCCUUAUUUGUAAUUAUUUGUUUCAAGUAUUUGGACUAAUUCGUGACUAUAAGUUCGGUCGGGACCCACAGUUGUGGACCAAGAGGGGUACUUAACACCUUCCCCUCGAGGUCAUUUCGAUCCCUUAACCUAAUCUCUGGUAAUGCAAACCAAUCCAAGAGUUAAUCACUCUAGAAGCCCUAACGCACCAUAAUCUGUUAGGUGGCUACUCUUCAAAUACCCAAUUCCCAAAAGGAAAGGAGUUCUCCACGGAGGUAAAAAAGGGGGCGCGACACCUAGUUGAUGACAGUAUAGCCCAAUUCUAGCAUAACUUGAUGCCAACAUAGGGUCACCACUCCCAAGUUGAUGCCAACAUAGGGUCUCCACUCCCUAGUUGAUGCCAGCGUAACCUAAUGCCAGCAUAACCUGAUGCCAACAUAGGGUCACCACUCCCUAGUUGAUGCCAAAAUAGGGUCUCCACUCUCUAGUUGAANNNNNNNNNNNNNNNNNNNNUUGAAGCCAGCAUAACUUGAUGCCAACAUAGGGUCUCCACACCCUAGUUGAUGCCAACAUAGGGUCUCGACUCCCUAGUUAAUGCUAGCAUAACCUGAUGCUAACAUAGGGUCACCACUCCCUAGUUGAUGAUUUUCCAACAAUAGGGUCUCCAAUCCCUAGUUUAUUCCAUUUUAGAUAUAGGGUAUCCACUCCUUAAUCUCUUUUUCCCAAGGAUACACAAUCCUGAUUUUAUUGCUUUCAAUAAUGAAGUAGUAUAGUGUUUUGGUUACAAAUAACUCGCGAAUUUUUCUAGUGAAAACUGGGGCAGAAAAAUUCCGUUCGUUUGUUUGUUUUAGUGUCUAAGCAGGUUAUACCUCGAGGCAUAGGAUUUGAGAUGACCAAAAGAAGAAGUCUCAAUCCAAAAUAAAAGAAAAAGAAGAAAAAGAAAAAGAAGUGGACUCAAAUUGCAGAAGCCACAAGACAUGAUUGAAGCCACAAGCUCUGCAUGUCCCGUGUUGAUCCAAAAACCUGAAGAGGAAUGAACCUAGCACUUCCAGCUAACAAGCGUCAAGAUUCAGAUCAGAGUCUGCAUGAAGAACCAGCCAAGACUCAAGAUCAAGCUUCAGAAGGCUUAUAGAUAGGAAUCUUGUAACUCGUAGCUGAUAGGCUUAGAUAAUUUAGUUUUUUUAUUUUGAUUUUUGUGUAAUAAGGAGCUCAGCAAGCAGUAACAGCAGCAACAACAGUGAAAUCAUAGCUAUUCGGUAGUUUCAACUACCAAAACUUCCAGAACUGCACUGACCUAAUUCCAUUAUAGUCAAGAAUAUGUAGGCAACCUCCGAAACAAGGUUCGGUCAGACUUUUUCAAAAAAAAAUGCUUCCCAUUUAGUUUCAAACAGGCAAAAAUUGCUCGUAAUUGCUCACUUUAUCUUUGCCCGAAAACUCUUCAUGUUUCGAGCAAAGAGGGGCAGCUGUGAGCACCAAAAUUUUGCCCUGCAUGGAAAUACCUCCUAAAAAAAUCAAAAAUAAUUUUAAUAGAUUUUAGGAGUUUUUGUUUAUUUACUUGCAUUUCAUGCAUGUUUAAUAUUUUAAAAUCAUAAGAAAAAUCAUAAAAAUUGUCACAUUUUAAUUUCAUGUCAUGUUAGGUUUAAUUUGCAUUUUUUAGGAAUUAGUCACUCUUUAAUUGUUAGAAUUAAUACAUAAAGAUCAAACAAAGUAUUUUUUAGAUUACAUGCAUUUGUUAAUAGAUAAAUAGAAUUAUUUUUGCUAAAUUAGAUUUAAAUAUAGGUUUUAAUUUAAGAUUUAAUUUGUUAGAAUUUAAAAUUAAAAGAAAAAAAUAAAGAUAAAGAAGUAGAUUUGGUCUGUCAAUUUCAUCUGGGUCAGCUUAAUUUGAACCCCAAAAAUCCCAAAUUAUCCAAGCCCAUACCAUCCCAGUCCACUACCCAAAUACCCAUUUCCCUUUAUUAAAACUCUAUCUCCUACACUCUAAAAAAAUCACACAUUAGAAACCUAAUAAAAAAAACUCUUCUAACCAAAAAUGUCGUUCCACCCUCACCCAUCUUCUUCUUCUUCCUCACUUCUAACCUAAAAACACAAAAAAAAAAAAUCAGGACCCUAAUCUCUAUCCUGGCAACGGCGCAGACCCCCCCCCCCCCUUCUUCUCCAUCCCUCGUCACCCUCACUCACUAAUCAAUCACACACACACGCCUGGACUACUGAGAGAAGAAGUUUGCACUUCAAAGUUUAAAAUCUAGAAAACUUAAAGAAAUAAAAAAAAAGGAGAUUAAAAGGCUGUUCGAAUUUUUCUUCUUAGCUUGAUCGUUUCUGGCUUUCGAAGGCUUUUUUUUUAAGUUAUAAGUUUGCUGGUUUGUUAAUGUUUCCGAUGCUGGAUCUCACUCUUUAUUCCAGACCUUGCUUGGUCAUUUAGUGUUGUUUUUACAUCUUCUAGGUAUUUAAAUUCUCACCCAUUCUCCUCUACUUGAGUCUAUGGUUUAAAUUUUGGAUUACUCAUAUUGGGUUUGUGGUUGCUUACUCAGAGUUUGAUUAUGUUAAUUGGUUAUGGAUUGAAUAUAUUUGAAUGUUUAGCAUACCUAUUAAAUUGUGGUAUUGUAAAUUGUCCUCUUCUGCUACGCCAAUUGAUUGAUAUUGCCUCAUAUAAUGCUUAGAUCUAAUUUGUCGUUUAUGCACAAUUACUGUACGUUCAUUGUUAGUUUGAAUGAAGAUUGUUAAUUCCAAA
rnacentral:lncRNA from 1 species